rnacentral:lncRNA from 1 species
AUGCCGAGGAUCACAAAACAAGGUGUGAAUAACCAUGCUAACUCACUUGGUACUCCUAAUAUUAUCACCUAAUCAAUGUGCCGGUUAACCACACACGCUCCAUUGAUCUAUGACAACAUUAAGUUACCCUUCGUGAUCCUUACUAGUCUAAUUAGUGUGCCGGUUAACCACACACGCUCCACUAACGACUUGGUAAGGUACAAAGUGUGAAUUCCAUGGAUUAGCACCAUGUUCACAUUUUCCUAAAAUAACUAAGAUUGGGAAUUAAAAGAGUUUAGUUAUUUUAUAAUAUUCAUUAUACUUUUAAUGAGGAUUUAAAGUCGUUGUUCUACCCGUUCGGCUAACGACCCUCCACCGAUCAAGCAAGCGGUGGGUGAGAGUAUACACCCAUUAAGUCGCCAUUUUAUAGGCAACAACCUUAUACCCACCUUAUAGACCGGCUUCGUGAAUGAGGCCUACUAACGGUAAAACGACUUAUUCUUAUACAUAUAUAUAAUAAUUAACCAUUAAUGUUAUAAAUAGUAUAAGGGUUGAAUUUUAACUAUUAAAACUCUAAGGUUUGGAAUUAAAGUUUAUUAAAGUGUGUGAAACUUUACAAAUUCCAAAACUUGAGGACAAGUUUUGUAACUUUGCAAAACUCUUCAUUUCAUAACUUAUGAAUUAAAGGUUCAUAAAAAUGAAGACUCUUCAUUUUCAUGUAACUUAUGUGUUUUAAGUGUGUGUUAAAUGAAAGUGACCUUUGGUAAUCCAUAACUUGAGGACAAAUUAUGGACUCCAUUAAAACACAUAAAUGAUUAAGAAUUAAUUCUAAACAAUUCAGCAAAUAAUUCCUAUCAUUUUCUAAAUUCAUAAGAACAUGAACAUGAUCAUCAAAAAUUCAAGAAUUAUAUGAACACAUAAAAUCAUGGAUUUUUGAUAUAUGCUAUUGUAAAUGGAUUAGAACAACCAUUACACCAACUAAAAUAAGUUUUACAACACCAAAACAAUUUAGGGUAAUGUUUCCAGUCCAUUUCCAGCAGCAAAAGUCGAGAUUCUGCAUUCUUUCGAUCCUACUCGCCGAGUGCACGAACGGACUCGUCGAGUAGGUUGAAGUUUGCCUUGGACUCGGCGAGUCCCCCCAAUGGACUCGGCGAGUCUAGCAUGCAGACAGCAACGAUUUCGACUUUUUUCACUAUUUUGCAUCAAGUAUCAAACAAGCAAGCCUAGGCUCUGAUACCACUGUUGGGUUUUGAGCAAUCUAACACUUCCUAAGUGUGCAUGCAACCCUAAUAAACCUUGGAUCUAUGUUUGUCUAAAUACAUGCAAAAUAAUAAUUUUCCAAGGUUUAUAACCUAUCUAACAUGGCAUGGGGAACAUUUCAACAUAAAAGAGUUAGAAGAGAUUACAUACCUUUGUUGUGUUGGGUUCUUAGGAGUUUGAGGGCCAAGCACCAAUAGUGUGAAUGCCUCAAAUGGAAUCACAAAACACCACAAACUCUUGGAAAACUUUGAGAGAGUAUACACACUUGUAUAUUUCGGCCACACACAAGCACACACACACACACACACACUAGUUCACUAGUUGCCAUUUCAUGCACCAUAAGCAUGCUUAUAUAGUGUACAUGGUUAGAGUGAAACCCUAAUAACCCAUGACUUUUCCUUUCCAAGGAUCCAUGGGUUAAAAGCUCCAUGGAUCAUCCAUGGACUUCCAUCAAAGCCUAGCCCAUUAACAAAUGAGUGUUAGCCCACACCAUAUAAAAUCAAUAGCCCAUAAUCUAAUUAGUCUUCCUUUUAAUCUUUAAAUUAAUUCAUAAUUAAUUUAAGACUAAGACUAAUUAAAUAACAUAACCUCAUAUUAAUAUAUUAUAACUUAUAAUAUAUUAAUAAACAUAUGUGUAUAACUCUCAUAAAAUUAUCCAUAGAUAGUUUGGAUGAGAUGCAACCCAAAUGGACCAUGUCGGUCGGGUCAAGUAUAUACCAAAUAAGUUAUGGACUUAGAAACCUUAUCCAACAUCUUGAACUAUGUAUAAUUGGCAUAUGCGAGGCAAAUGGCGAGGGCAACGGAGAUCUCGUAAGGUAGAGCAGUGUUGUGAGUGGUCUAAAACUAGUGUCUAGACUUAUUUUUGAGGUUCUCAGGAACCUGUAGGGUGAGUCCAUACCUUAUAUGAGGAAGUAGAGUUCAUGGGGUCUUGAGGGUACGACUCGAGACAAAUACGAAUUGGUGUGAAAGGUAGUAUUCAACCCGUACACUGAAAAUACCGGAUCCAUACGCGGCUCAAGGAAAUAACCUCGAGGGACUAGAGAGCUUAUAGGGGUGUGAGAGUCGAUAUAUCUGUUUAGCUUUUGUUGAUGAUUUUUCUUAUGCAUUUCAGUAUGGUGGUUACCUGAGGUUCAGGCUCUAAUGACCCUGAGAGGCCGACUGCCAAUGAUGAUGAGAUUCACAUGAUUGUUGCCGAAAAGGUGGCCACAGAAAUCCGAGAAGCUAUCCUGGAGAUGUUUGGGUCAGUUAAGACCACCCUGAUUGAGACCUUUGAUGAGAGCUAUGUCGUUGUUACUAAGGCUGUUGUUGUCGCCGCCACCACAGCUCUCGCUGCUGCGAGAUCGCAGGGGGUGAUUCGUUGUGGUAUCGUUCACCAACACGAAUCCACAUGAGUUUGAUGGGACCCAAGAUCCAAUUUCCGCUAUGAGAUGGAUCUAUGAAGUUGAGGCAUGUUUUUAUACCUACUCCUGUUCGGAGAAUUUGAGAGUUCGAUUUGCAUUGAACCUGCUUCACUUGGGAGCGAAGGACCGGUGGAAGUUUGUGAUAGCUUACUACGCACCUGCAGAGCAUGUAAUGAUGACUUAGGAGAGGCUUACUGCAAUGUUAAGGGAUGAGUUUGUACCUGUAGUUGAGCGGGAUAGGUUAGCCCAGGAGUUCCUGUCUCUCAAGCAGAAGACAAAGACAGUGACUGUGAUCACCAGGAUGUUUCAUGAGAGAGCUUUAUUUUUUCCUGAGCAGGUAUCGAUGGAGUAGGCUCGUGUGGCCCAGUAUUUGAGUGUUAUGAGGAAGGAUAUCAGGGAGUUUGUGGCAAACACCACACAUAGGACAUUGGCUGGGCUGCAUACCAAUAUUAGUAGGAGAGAGAUCGAGCUAGAGACUCAGGCUAGGAAGGAGAGGGAGAACCAGGGUAGGGACAGGAGGCCAGUGUAGUCGCAGCCAACGGCUAAGCUGGCUAAGCUCGCUGAUCAGAGAGUUGGAGGCUAGAAGGGCCGCACGUGCGGAAAGUGCAGCAAAGUUCAUGAGGGACCAUGUCGGUCCGAGUCGGCUUACUACAUGUGUAGCAAGGAGGGGUAUUUUUGCUAGGGAAUGCGCUAAGGGAUUUCAAGUUUGUUUCAGCUCCAACUAGACGAGCCACAUAAAGGCCGGUUGUCCACAGCUUGCAUCUAGGGCGGUUCCAACUCCUGCCCUAAUGACACUUCAUAUCAUCGAUGGCUAGCAAGGUAAGGCCGAUGCACCGAAGGCUCAGGACAGAGCUUUUCAGUUGACAACAGAGGAGGCCCGAGGAACUCCUGAUGUCAUGGCUGGUAUGUAUUGCUUAUAUUUCUAUUGAUUUAUUUAUGAUGCUUAUACUGUUAAUUGUGUAGGUAUGUUCCUUUUGAAUUAUGUGCAUGCUCUUGUGUUAUUUGACUCAGGUGAGAGUCGGUCUUUUGUGUCAUCAUCUUUUAGUUGCAGUUUUAGUAUUAAACGAGAGGCCUUGAGAAAGCCCUUGAUGGUCUUAAUACCUAAUGAGGCUACUGUCUCAGUUGUUGUUGUCUAUCAGGUUUGUGUGUAAGAGAUAUUCAGGGUUUCUUAUCCGACAAACCUCAUCCAUAUCUCGAUGGGGGAUGUUUGUGUGAUCAUGGGUAUUGAUUGGUUGAGCCGGUUUGGGGCUUUCAUCGAUUGCGAGUCGCAGUUAGUGACAAUNGGGGGGGGGGUGCUGACUAUUUAUGGUGAGGGUACAAGAUCAGGAUCAACCCUCUGUUCUGCCGCUAGGGCAAGACAGAUUUUAGAGCAUGGGUGCAUGGGUUUUCUGGCUUAUGUGGUGGAUACUCGGGUUGAGAAGAAGGGAGUGACUUUUUGUUUCUGAUGUUCCGGUGGUAUGUGAUUUUCCUGAUGUUUUUCCCGAGGAGUUACCAAGUGUGCCUCCUGAGAGGCGGGUGGAGUUAAGGAUCGAUCUGAUUUUGGGUGUAGCAUUAAUCGCCAAGGAACCGUAUCAUCUUACACCUCAUGAGAUGCAGGAAUUAUCCUCUAAUUUGCAAGAGCUGUUGGGGAAAGGGUUCAUUAGACCGAGAAGUUCUUCGUGGAGAGGAUAUUCAAAAUACGGCCUUUCGAACUCGUUAUGGGCAUUAUGAGUUUGUGGUUAUGCCUUUUAGACACACCAACACACCGACAGUGUUCAUGGACCUCAUGAACCGAGUGUAUAGGCACAUGUUGGAUCGAUUUGUGAUGUUUUUAUCAAUGACAUUCUGGUAUAUUCGAAGACUAGGGAGCAACAUGAAGAGCAUCUGUGUGAGAUUUUUGGGGUAUUGAGGAUGGAGAGGCUUUAUGCCAAAUUCUCCUAAUGUGUUUUCUAGUUGAUAGUGGUUCAGUUUUUAGGAUACCUUGUCAAUCAAAACGGUAUUUAGGUCGACCCAACCAAAAUUGAGGCGGUGACGCAGUGGGAGGUGUCGAGAUCUCCAUCUGAGAUUUGGAGAUUCCCUGGUUUGGUAAAUUAUUAUCGGAGGUUCAUCAGAGAUACGAUUGUUUUUCCUCUCACAAUGUUGACCAGGGAACACGUUGCCUUUAGUUGGGGGCCUGAGCAGCAGACAUCAUUUGAGACUCUACUUCAGAGGUUGUACGAGGCCCCAAUGCCUGCCCUCCUUGAGGGAGUUAAGGAUUUCGUAGUUUAUUGUGAUGCAUCCAUUAUGGGAUUGGGUGUUGUAUUGAUGCGGGGAGGACAUGUGAUAGCAUACCUUUCGAGGUAGCUGAAGCCACAUGAGCUGAGGUACCCCACUCAUGAUUUGGAUUUAAGGGCGGUGGUUUUCGCCCUCAAGAUUUGACGCCACUAUCUCUAUGGUUUUCGGUGUACCAUCUACACGGACCAUAAAAUCUUGAGAUACCUUAUGGAUCAACCUAACCUCAAUAUGAGGAAGAGGAGGUGGUUAGAUGUCACACCCCCAAACCAAGGAUGGCGGAAACGUCCGGGGGUGGAGGAUUUCAUGCAAAGUAUCACAACAACGAGUAUAAUAGUGCUCAAAGUAAAUACAACCAUCAUGAAUAUAAUUGAAAAAGUUACACCAAAGUAUAUGUUUACAUGAUUCAAAUCAAUUACAUUAUGAUACAAAAUGAACUGUUUGACGAUUUAUCGUCCCAUCCUCAAAAUGUGGUUGAUUUCCUGUUUCACCGAAUUCCUGAGAAUACAAGUAGUUUUGAAAAAGUGUCAACACAAAGGUAGGUGAGUUCAUAAGCUUUUGACAGUAGGAGUUUGAAAAUCGAUCUUUGUAAGAAGAUGUAUGUCACCAAGAAAAAUCCAAUAUUUUCCUUAUAAAAGUCAUGUAGUCCUAAAUACCAGGACCGAAAUGAACAAGUAUUUUGUCAUACUUAAAGCUAUAAUUGUGAUUUUAAAUUGGCGUAAAACCCCUUUCUGAUUUGAGAAAAUACCGAAAUGAAUGAUGUGUGGUCUUAAAUACCAAGACGGAAAAUAUACCAUAAUAUCUGUAAUUAUUGAUAUAAAAAGUGAUUUUAAAUUGACAUAAAACCCCUUUUGAUUUAUGCGAAACCUUGUAAACUUAUGUUGUUAGAUCCCUAUGUGAGUCGCUAUAAUCAUACUAAUGACUGAAUACACCAGCCACGACGUUUCUCAAGNCACGACGUUUCUCAGGCGUCGCGAAACUGAAAUGACACUUGUCACCCGCAGACCUGCAGGUCCGGCUGUAGCUAGCAGCGAGGUGUGGGGUGUCAAACCCAAUAUAGAUCUAUACACAACUAUCACGUUCUCCCUCCAGGAGACUCUGAUUAUAAUUAGCAGGAAUUAGAUUCCGCACUCGGACGUACGGAAGAGAAUGUCUCACAAUUUAGGUUAACAAGUUUACGUGUGGUGUGCAUAAGUGUAAAGCCUUUUCCUGUGGGAAUAAAACCUUCCGAAAUGUGUUUGUUGUGUUAAUGGAAACAUAAACCAUACCUGUUAUAGUUUAUCCCAAAAGGUUUGUAAUGUAUAAAAACUCUUUUAUGAAAACGCUUUUGUAAUGAAUUUACACUUAGCGUAAUGAAAGUUCCCUUUUGUAUAAAUGUACCCUUCUGAAAAUGUAUUUGUAUUUUGUAAAGUAUCAUAAACUAUACCUAUUAUAAUUUAUCAAAACAAGGGUAGAAAUAGUAAAGUACAUAAACUAUACUUAACAUAGUUUAAUAAUACAUUUGUAUGUAAUGGGUGUACUUUAAUUAUAACACUGGGUUAUUUCUAUGUAUUAUCUAGUAAAAAUUCAUUUGUUAACUAGUGUAUAUCUAGAUAUGAAUGCAAAAAUGUCACGUACUACAAUAACACAUAAUCACAUAAUGAUAUAUACCUUGCUCAACAUGUUACAAGGUGAAAUGAAAUUUAUAGUGUUUUUCUAUUUAUAACAUUUUAUGUAGCUGUUAUUGGAAAAUUUGUAGAAAACUCAUAAAAUGUCCAAAUCAAGUUCUGUAACUUCUGAGAGUUUGGAAAAUGAGUCUAGUUGGUUCAUAAAUUUUUCCAUAAUUUUUAGGGACCUCUAACGUGUGUGACCAAGUCCAUAAUCACAGACUGGUCCGGAUUGGUGUUUGAGAUGAUAGGCAGUUUUGUAAAAAUAACCAUAAAUUGUAGAAAAAUCGUAUGGAGAUGUGCAAGUAGUCAUCUUAAAGCUAAGAACUGGAGCUACUUACACCUAAAACAGUUUUGUAAUAAAAAAUGUUUAAUUUGUCCAAAACAGUCCAUGAAUGGUGUCCAACUUUUCUGAUGAAGGCUGUUAGAAAAGUUUAGUUUUGUUCUUGUUGUUUUGCUUGUAUUCUCCCCCUAAAAACUUGAGAAAACAUGAAAAUGUAGGGGUAUGAACUCACCUUGAGUGAUUUCAGUAGAUGAGUGUUGAAGAAGAGAAGUGUUCAACUCAAGAACACUUGAUGAAUCACUUGAAGAUUCGAAGAUCUAAUAAGAAGGUGAUGAUGUUUGUGUAAGCAAUCUAUGAUUUUGAGUAGGAGGAUGUGUAAUAAUCAUAAGAAAGAUGAUGAUACUUACUAAAUGAAGGAGAAAAGUCUUGGAGUAUGCCUUGAAGUUCUCGAAUUUGAGAGAGAAAGAUGAGAGAGUUUGGAGUGUGGUUCUUGGUGGAAAAAUGAGAGAAUGAAUGAAGUGUGAGGAGAGAGGGUGGAUGUUCCAUCUCUAAGAACGUGGGAAUGGCUGAAAAUAAUGAGAAAGGACUUAUGAAGUGACUAGGGAUGGGCUGGUGGUGAAUAGUGACAUGGAGUGGGUAUGAGAGUGGUUGCUUGUGUCAUAGAAUAAAGGAAAGUCAACACUCCACCUUUGUACUUCACCCACUCUUUUGGAUAAGGUUUUAUCCUUAAAAAAAUGAUAAUUUAAUAAUUAUGGGUCCUUAUAUGUUAUAAUAAAGUUUUGGGUGAAAAUCCGGUGUUAAAACAAUUAAAAACGGGCCUAAAACGCGAAAUUAGUCGAAAACCGGGAGAAAAAGGCCGUUCCAGCGAGACCUCUUGGUCCUAGGCCGAGGUUCGGUCCCUAAUGCAGCUAGGCGCGAAGCGAUGGGGGGGCGAGGAAGCGAGAGGCGAAGGGUCAGUCCGAAGGCUCGGUCCGAAGGGUCAGAAGCGAGGGCUCGGUCAAGGCUCAGGAUCCGAAAUGGACCGAAGGUUCGGGUUCGGGUGUGUAGGCGAGGUUCGGGCCCGAGAGGACCUUUCGGGUUCGGUUCAGCAGCCUUCGGCUCAGAAGGGUUCGGUUCCUAAGAGGACUUUCGGGUCCUAAGAGGGGUUUCGGUUCCUAAGAGGACUUUCGGGUCCUAAGAGGGGUUUCGGGUCCUUAAGUCCGUUUUUCGCGUAGACUUCCGUUUUUGGGCUGUUUUCGCCAAAUUCGAGGGUCGGGAUGCCCCGAGUGAUUAUAGAAAGUUGAGAGAGAUUUCGAGAGAGAUUUGAGAGAGAUUCCACAUACUUAGAGAGAUUUGGGAGAGAUUUGACAUACUUGGAGAGAUUUCUCAUACAAAGAGAUAUUUGGGAGAGAUUUCACAUACUUAGAGAGAUUUGGGAGAGAUUUGACAUUCUUGGAGAGAUUUCUCAUACAAAGAGAUAUUUGGGAGAGAUUUCACAUACUUAGAGAGAUUUGGGAGAGAUUUGACAUUCUUGGAGAGAUUUCUCAUACGAAGAGAUAUUUGGGAGAGAUUUCACAUACUUGGAGAGAUUUGGGAGAGAUUCUCGAUAAGAAGAGAUGGAGUGAAAACGAUUGAGAGCGGUUUUGUGUGUGACGAAUGUGAGUGUCCGGCUUUGCAAUGCAAGGUCCGUAAACCCUGUUAUGCCUUGUUUAAGGAUCUUGCAUACUCCCGAUGAGUAUGCAACAUUGUUUUAUCGGUUUGGCUUGCCACGUACCAUAGUUUUAGGUUAAAGAGAUCUAGAUGUACGCACUUUUCGAUUUAUGAUCUCUCAUUAGAAUAACGAGUUGUUUAGAAAUUACAUAACGUAAACUCUAGUACCUACGGGCAAAUCGAGUUGACCGGUUUGACUUGUUGACUUUAGUUGACUUUGACUUGACCGAAAAUUGACGGUUGUCACAUCAUCCCCCCGUUAGAGGGAAUUUCGUCCAGAAAUUUUGAAUUUAGGCAAGGAGUGGGCAUGAACAAUCGAGCCAUGAAGUGGGGAUACUUCCUAAUCGACUGAUUCUCGCGCUCCCAAGUGACUCCAGGUCCUUGGUUAGUAUUCCAGCGAACUUCCACUAAUGGGAAGUUGCGUUCGCUUAACCUCUCGGUCCAUGGUCACUAUGGUUCUUUCACGAAGGUGAGGCUCUUAUGGAACUCCAUCUCGUCGAGGGUGAUUACAAGAGUCUCGUCGGAUAGAUACUUCUGCAAGUUCGGGAUCUGUCGGGUAGAAUGUACUUUACUAAGCUCGCGGGACUAGAUUGAAGUUGCGAUUACAGGGAUGAUUCUUACAAGAAUCUCGAAAGGCAUAAUUAUCUGGGGUUUUGGCUUUCCACGCUUUCCAAAGCAUACUAAGCCUGCCCAAAGUGAGGUUUCCAGAGGAAUUUGGUCUCUUAUUCUGGAGUUCUAAAGGUUUCUUCCUUUUGCUUCUCUUCCCAGUCGAGGGUUGCUCCCUUCAGGGUCAAAGUCGUAAAAGGGUUCUGUAAUUUACGAGAAGUUCCAAAGGAACUAAGACGGUAGGUCAGCGAGACCCGGAAUUUUGGCGUAUUCCUGCUGAUGCUAUUUGUGCUGACUGUUUCUCAACGGUUUUGAUCACUUGAAAGAGUCCUUAAGGAUUUCCACAUUGAUAAUGAUGUGUCUUAGGAAUUUGAGUCCUCAAUUCCAAAACUCGUAUCUAGAGAACUUCGGGGUAAAGCUUCUCUGAUCGUAUUUCUUUCGCGGUUUGUUGCAGCUGCUCUCCUUGGUUUCCUUCUUACUACGAGGGUAGAUAAGUAAGUCAUUUACAAUGACAAUGACUAACGGAUCCUAGUAAGAAUGGCAUAUCCUAUGAAUACUACGAGCAGGUUGGUCCUAUCCGAGGGGUAUCACUACGGACUUGCAGCGUCCGCAUCGAAUUUGGAGGAUUGUCCUCGGACAUCCUUCUCCAAUACUCGCGACUGGUGAUAUUUAGAUCUCAGGUCCAAUUCCUGAAGGGUACUUCGUUCCUCGCGGUUGGUCAGCCUAUUCGUCUAUGCGAGGUAGAUAGUAAAGGUUUCUAUUGGAGAUAUUGCCAGGGCUUUGAGGUCAAUGGGCCCUCGAGAAAUUUUGUCUUUCAAUUUUGAAGAAUAAAACCAGAGUUCUCCAGGGUGAGAAUCUUGAUUCUUCAAUUUCAUUGUUGGGUAGCUCGACGGUUUUGGCCUGACAGUUUAUGGCAGGACUCGUACCUAGUCCAUCUAUCAUUCACUUGCGCAUAUAGGUCGUAUGUCCUCAAGAUUGGCAAGACAGUUGGAUGGGUGACUCUGCCCCAAAUCCACAACCAGACAUGGAACAGGAAAUAGGGCGGAAGCACACAUCCAAUGUCUGUAGAAUCUUAAUUAUACAUUAUCCUCGCGUAUACACGUAGUAGUGGUGGACUAACCGUAUCCGUCCCAAGCUUCUGUGCUUGAACCUUGUCUGCUACAUGCGUGUCAUUCCCGAACGUCUCCUAUAAAUACUUGUGAUAAGGUUUUGGGAUGUAUAACACUCCUCUGGUGCGUGUUUUGGGGUUUCACCGUGAGAGAUGACCCGGAGAUCCGUGCUGGACGCGUUUAUGGGAGACAAAGAUUCUGAUAUUCGGUGAGUUAGGUGAAGGGUUCUUUUGUAGCCGUUAAAUCGGGAAGAUGAGGGCUAUAUCCUUAAAAUUGGAUGAUGACAACAAUAUCUUUUUAGAUAACAUGCAUUAAGCUGUAGUCAUAAGAAGACAUCACUAAAGUGAUAGAGUAUCUCGUGUUACUUUCCUUGUUCCGUUUUGUUUGAUGUUAUUAUUACUAUAGAUGAUUUAUACCACAGUGUCUAGCAUUGGUAGUGGGUGUGUUUCGAUAAUCAGUAAUGGUACUUGACAUCGUGAUCCCUAACAGGUCUCCCUAUGAUCGAACGGUAUAUGAACAUCGUAUGAGAGUUGAUGUUGGCGAGAUUGUCGAGUGGGUGGCCCCACUCAAUUCUUACUACUAGAAAUGAAAUAGGAGUCAGGAUGAAAUUAUUUGUUUCAAGACUUUAGUAUUUUGAUUAUAAUUAACCCCGAUGUAUGUACAAAGUCAUCACAUCUUACAGGUAAUGAUCCUAAGAUCAUAUAUGAAUGUCUUUGAUUUGAUUUGAACGAGAGAGUAUUUUAACUACUUUUAGAAAGACGGUGACUUUAGCAAGCAUACCAAAUUCAUAACAAACAUAUGGUACUUAAACGUUUUUGUCGUUGGAAACAUUACAAAAGUCCUAAUAUGGUUCCUUGUUACCCUUUUUGGUUCAUUUGUCACACUCCUUCGGCUCCCCCAUCAUUCUUCUUAGUUGGGCAGUUUCUCUUGAAGUGUCCUGUUUCGCCACAUCGGAAGCACCCUUGAAUUACUUUUGUAUUGGGGGUUGGAGCGAUGCACUGCGUCGGGGCCCUACAGAAACGGAUGGUAUGCCCUUUCUUGUCGCAAUUUUUACAAUGUAUCUCCCGGCAAGCCCCAUUGUGAUGGAAGCCACAUUGGUUACACUUUGGGAGUGAUCCAUUAUAUGGUCUGGCCGGCGUUUGGGUGGCAGACCCCGUGGCUAGUGUCGAGGCAUGUGUCGUGACUGCUGUUGUAAUGGUAGGGGUGGCCAUAGGUUGUUGUCUUUUAGUGAAUGUUUGAGAUUGGUGGCGCUCUUUCAUGUUCCAAAACUUUCUCUUCUUGCUCGUGGGUUUGUGACCGGGGGUAUUUUCGUUGGCGGACACCCGUUGGUGUUCUUGAAUAUUACCACAAUCUGUAUUGUCAGUACCGCUUCCAUUUCUGCUAGCGUUGUUAACAUUGAACNGUGCCAUGACUGCUGCCACGGCUGCCGUGACUGCAGCCUGAAAAGUAGCAGAAUCUAUCUGCAGGGUUGGCGCCUUGCUAGUUGGUUGAUUGCCUCUUGGUAAAGACAUAGCUCUGUUCCACGAUGAAAAACGACUUCGUUAGUAGGGAUAAUUAUCUCAAGUGCACUAAUACGAUUUAUAUUCAAAUAUAUAAAUUUUUGCACAUUACUGUACUAUUCCUAGUGUUCCUGCUAACGUUCCCAAGAUGGAGUUAUGGCAGUGGGUAGGAGUAGGUUUCAUACAGGCGUUAAGCUUUACUCAUCUUAGAAUCAUGUUUGUCCAAACACGCUUGGCUGAGGAGUUUUGAUGGGACCCGGUGUAUUAGUGCCUGAACGAUCGCACUCCGUAAGUCUAUGAAGAAGGAACUUCCCAACGAAAUGUUUAAAGGUGAGAUGAUAAUGAGUUUUUAGAAUGGCUAUACGUCGCAAGUUUGUAACUAAGUUUUAUCUUAUAUCGAUUUGUAACGUAAUUCGGUCGUUAAGGGCGUUCUGAAAACAAUUCAUAACGAGAUUCUUUAUAUGGUAUACUCAUGUAUUUCAGUAGUUUUGUAUCCAAGUGAACCCUUAUACUUGACCCAAGCUAGGUCCUUAUUAUGACCAAUUGAAGUAUGCUUAGUUAUAUAACUAUGAUCAAAUAGACCUUCGAUUCUGUUAGGUAUAUCCUAUGCCCAUCUUGUUAAUUAUGAUUCUAGAAAUUAUGGUUUCAGCGAAAUUUUUUGACCUAGAUGUAGGUUUACCUCACAUCCGUGCAUGGAAAAGUUUUGAUAGCAACUAGAUCCCUCGUUGAGUAUGACCACUUAAAUCCCAGUGUCGUGCUUACGGCUAGAAUAGAGUAGCACCAACGCAUACUCACGAAUCUAAAUUACAAGGUCUUGUGAGUGGUAUGAACUCUACUUACGACGAUCCGUCCCUUGCGAUGCCUGAGGCAAAGUCGAUGCACCUUGCAGCUCUGUUAAUCGAUGCCUGGCUGCAAUCCUCCUCUCAUUGAAUGCCGUGUGUCUACCCCGUUACUCUCUUGCCUCUGCCUGAGUGGCGAUAAGGCCCUAAACAGAGAGUUGNUUCUCAGGCGUCGCGAAACUGAAAUGACACUUGUCACCCGCAGACCUGCAGGUCCGGCUGUAGCUAGCAGCGAGGUGUGGGGUGUCAAACCCAAUAUAGAUCUAUACACAACUAUCACGUUCUCCCUCCAGGAGACUCUGAUUAUAACUAGCAGGAAUUAGAUUCCGCACUCGGAGGUACGGAAGAGAAUGUCUCACAAUUUAGGUUAACAAGUUUACGUGUGGUGUGCAUAAUUGUAAAACCUUUUCCUAUGGGAAUAAAACCUCUCGAAAUGUGUUUGUUGUGUUAAUGGAAACAUAAACCAUACCUGUUAUAGUUUAUCCCAAAAGGUUUGUAAUGUAUAAAAACUCUUUUAUGAAAACGCUUUUGUAAUGAAUUUACACUUAGCGUAAUGAAAGUUCCCUUUUGUAUAAAUGUACCCUUCUGAAAAUAUAUUUGUAUUUUGUAAAGUAUCAUAAACUAUACCUAUUAUAGUUUAUCAAAACAAGGGUAGAAAUAGUAAAGUACAUAAACUAUACUUAACAUAGUUUAAUAAUACAUUUGUAUGUAAUGGGUGUACUUUAAUUAUAACACUUGGUUAUUUCUAUGUAUUAUCUAGUGAAAAUUCAUUUGUUAACUGGUGUAUAUCUAGAUAUGAAUGCAAAAAUGUCACGUACUACAAUAACACAUAAUCACAUAAUGAUAUAUACCUUGCUCAACAUGUUACAAGGUGAAAUGAAAUUUAUAGUGUUUUUCUAUUUAUAACAUUUUCUGUAGCUGUUAUUGGAAAAUUUGUAGAAAACUCAUAAAAUGUCCAAAUCAAGUUCUGUAACUUCUGAGAGUUUGGAAAAUGAGUCUAGUUGGUUCAUAAAUUUUUCCAUAAUUUUUAGGGACCUCUAACGUGUGUGACCAAGUCCAUAAUCACAGACUGGUCCGGAUUGGUGUUUGAGAUGAUAGGCAGUUUUGUAAAAAUAACCAUAAAUUGUAGAAAAAUCGUAUGGAGAUGUGCAAGUAGUCAUCUUAAAGCUAAGAACUGGAGCUACUUACACCUAAAACAGUUUUGUAAUAAAAAAUGUUUAAUUUGUCCAAAACAGUCCAUGAAUGGUGUCCAACUUUUCUGAUGAAGGCUGUUAGAAAAGUUUAGUUUUGUUCUUGUUGUUUUGCUUGUAUUCUCCCCCUAAAAACUUGAGAAAACAUGAAAAUGUAGGGGUAUGAACUCACCUUGAGUGAUUUCAGUAGAUAAGUGUUGAAGAAGAGAAGUGUUCAACUCAAGAACACUUGAUGAAUCACUUGAAGAUUCGAAGAUCUAACAAGAAGGUGAUGAUGUUUGUGUAAGCAAUCUAUGAUUUUGAGUAGGAGGAUGUGUAAUAAUCAUAAGAAAGAUGAUGAUACUUACUAAAUGAAGGAGAAAAGUCUUGGAGUAUGCCUUGAAGUUCUCGAAUUUGAGAGAGAAAGAUGAGAGAGUUUGGAGUGUGGUUCUUGGUGGAAAAAUGAGAGAAUGAAUGAAGUGUGAGGAGAGAGGGUGGAUGUUCCAGCUCUAAGAACGUGGGAAUGGCUGAAAAUAAUGAGAAAGGACUUAUGAAGUGACUAGGGAUGGGCUGGUGGUGAAUAGUGACAUGGAGUGGGUAUGGGAGUGGUUGCUUGUGUCAUAGAAUAAAGGAAAGUCAACACUCCACCUUUGUACUUCACCCACUCUUUUGGAUAAGGUUUUAUCCUUAAAAAAAUGAUAAUUUAAUAAUUAUGGGUCCUUAUAUGUUAUAAUAAAGUUUUGGGUGAAAAUCCGGUGUUAAAACAAUUAAAAACGGGCCUAAAACGCGAAAUUAGUCGAAAACCAGGAGAAAAAGGCCGUUCCAGCGAGACCUCUUGGUCCUAGGCCGAGGUUCGGUCCCUAAUGCAGCUAGGCGCGAAGCGAUGGGGGGGCGAGGAAGCGAGAGGCGAAGGGUCAGUCCGAAGGCUCGGUCCGAAGGGUCAGAAGCGAGGGCUNCUAAGAGGGGUUUCGGUUCCUAAGAGGACUUUCGGGUCCUAAGAGGGGUUUCGGUUCCUCAAGUCCGUUUUUCGCGUAGACUUCCGUUUUUUGGCUGUUUUCGCCAAAUUCGAGAGUCGGGAUGCCCCGAGUGAUUAUAGAAAGUUGAGAGAGAUUUCGAGAGAGAUUUGGGAGAGAUUUGUCAUACUUGGAGAGAUUUAGCAUACAUAGAGAGAUUUGGGAGAGAUUUGACAUACUUGGAGAGAUUUCUCAUACAAGGAGAUAUUUGGGAGAGAUUUCACAUACUUAGAGAGAUUUGGGAGAGAUUUGACAUUCUUGGAGAGAUUUCUCAUAUAAAGAGAUAUUUGGGAGAGAUUUCACAUACUUAGAGAGAUUUGGGAGAGAUUUGACAUUCUUGGAGAGAUUUCUCAUAUAAAGAGAUAUUUGGGAGAGAUUUCACAUACUUAGAGAGAUUUGGGAGAGAUUUGACAUUCUUGGAGAGAUUUCUCAUAUAAAGAGAUAUUUGGGAGAGAUUUCACAUACUUGGAGAGAUUUGGGAGAGAUUCUCGAUAAGAAGAGAUGGAGUAAAAACGAUUCAGAGCGGUUUUGUGUGUGACGAAUGUGAGUGUCCGGCUUCGCAAUGCAAGGUCCGUAAACCCCGUUAAGCCUUGUUUAAGGAUCUUGCAUACUCCCGAUGAGUAUGCAACAUUGUUUUAUCGGUUUGGCUCGCCACGUACCACAGUUUUAGGUUAAGGAGAUCUAGAUGUACACACUUUUUGAUUUAUGAUCUCUCAUUAGAACAACGAGUUGUUUAGAAAUUACAUAACGUAAACUCUAGUACCUACGGGCAAAUCGAGUUGACCGUUUUGACUUGUUGACUUUAGUUGAUUUUAACUUGACCGAAAAUUGACGGUUGUCACAUUAGACGUAGCAAAGGACUAAGAUUUUGAGAUCUUCUAUCAUCCGGGCAAGGCCAAUGUGGUGGCCGAUACCUUAAGUUGGAGGGCAGCGAGUGCCCCGAUGCGAGAUGUAUGUAUGAGGAUGACAGUGAUGACUCCAGUUUUAGAGAUCAUCAAGGAAGCACAAUCGAAGGCCAUAAAAGAAGAAAACUGUAAGAGUGAGUGGGUGAUUGGUUAGGUUUCGAAUUUUAAUAUGGAUAUUUGAGGGAUUUUACUUUUCAUGGGUGGGUUUGGUUACCGUGUGCGGGUGGGAUAAGGCGGAUUUUGAUGGAGGAGGCCCAUAAAUAGAGAUUUACUGUCCACCCGAGGGCCACAAAUAUGUAUCUUAACCUGAAGGAUAAUUAUUUGUGGACAUGUAUGAAAAGAGAUGUGGCAUGGUUUGUGGAGAGAAGUUUGACCUGUCGGAUGGUCAAGGAAGAGCACCAGCGCCCUCAUGGUAAGUUGCAACCUCUAGAGGUUCCUUUAUGGAAGUAGGAAUAGAUCACUAUGGAUUUCAUUACUAAGCUACCGAGGACUACGAUGGGUGUUGACACUAUUUGGGUGAUAGUGGAUCGUUUAACAAAGAGUGCUCACUUCUUGGCCAUUAGUGAGAACUCUUCUACGGAGAAGUUACCCGAGAUUUAUGUUUGUGAGGAGGUUGCUCGGCAUAGGGUGCCGACAUCUAUUGUGUCCGACCGGGAUGUGCACUUUACUUCCAGAUUAUGGAAGAGAUUUCAUGAGGAGGUGGGUACCCGACUACAUUUUAGCACCGUGUACCACCCACGGACGGACGAGAAGAGCAAGCGGAUUAUUCAGACGCUUGAGGAUAUGCUGCACACCUACAUUAUUCAUUUCGGUGGGAGUUGGGACUCUUAUCUUCCGUUAGUUGAGUUCUCUUAUAAUAACAACCAUCAUGCCAGUAUCGGUAUGACCCCAUUCGAGCUCCUUUAUGGUCAGAGAUGUCGAACUCCUAUUUGUUGGGGUGAAGUGGGUCAGAGAGUCAUGGGGAGCAUGGAAGUCAUGCUCAAGACGACUGAGCUCAUACAACAGGUUCGGCAGAGACUUUUGAUCGCGCAAAUCCGCCAGAAGAGUUAUACGGAUCGGAGACGCAAUGAGUUAGAUUUUUAGGUAAGGGACUUUGUGCUCCUUAAGGUAUCACCCUGGAAGGGUGUUAUCUGCUUCGGGUAGCAGGGCAAGCUGAGCAGAAGAUUCAUUGGUCCUUUUCGAGUGUUCUCUCGUGCGGGAAAGGUUGCUUACCGGUUGGAGCUACUAGAGGAGUUGAGUAAGAUCCAUGAUACCUUCCAUGUAUCCCAGCUGAGGAAGCGUAUAGCCGAUGAGGCGGCUGUGGUUCCAUUGGAGGACAUUCAGGUCGGCAAUCGCCUGAAUUAUGUGGAGAAGCUUCUAGCCAUCUUUGAUCGUAAGGUGAAAAAGUUGAGGAAUAAGGUCGUGAACUUGGUAAGAGAUCAGUGGCAGCACCGUAGAGGUUCGAAAUGGACAUGGAAACUGGAGUCUGAGAUGCGUGAGUAGUAUCCUGAGUUGUUUCAGGAGGAUGAAUUUGAGGGAGAAGUGUGAUUUUAGUGCUGGAGAAUUGUAACUUUCCAAAAUGAGGUACUAAUAGAACCCAUUUUGACGAACAGUGGAUGCGGAAGAAUAAUAUCUCGAGAUUUAACGGAUAUAAAAAUGUAGAACAUGAAGAACAUAUGAUGAGAAAUUCCAUAGAUCAGAAAAGAGAGAUAAAAUAUAACAUUACAAGAACAUGGGUGGGAGAGGAGACUCUCCCUUGGUGGGAGAGAUCCCACCACUUUUUCUCUCUCUCUAGAAAAGUUACAUUUUUAGUGCACACAUAAGAAAAUGACCAACUCUCCCUUUAUAUAGGAGGGAGAAAAUACACCUACAAUACAAUAAAGGGAAAUAAAUAACCUAACUAUCACUCAUUAUUUGUAGAGCAUUUCCAUGCUCCAAAAUUCUCUCCUUAAAUGCUCGCAAAUGAUGAGGGAUACAAUAAGUGACACAAGGCUAUAAUAUAGUAAUCCGACUAGCGAGUGUGGUAGUAAAAUUAAACAUAAUGAGAACCAAAUGUUGAAAUGUCUCUAAAAAUUUGAAGUGUCUGUAAUGUAUGAAAUUGGCAAUGAAUCUCUAAACAGUGAAGGUCUUCGGCUUCAAAGCACCACCAAUGAAGCAGAAAAAUAAAUUCCACAUGUUUAAUAUACAUGAUUCGUCAAUCGAAGAUCAAGAGAGACAAGUCAUAAAAGUCCCAUAAAUUGAAGAAUGUGAAACAACUUUGUUGAUCAGUCGUCCUUGCAGUGCAAACGUCACAAAGAUUAAUUUAAAGUCUGACUGCAGUAUGGAGUAAUCUUUAUGGAAAGAUUCUUCCAAAAUAAUCGGCAUGGAGUAAACCAAUGUCACUAUCCAAGGUUAGGUUGUGGCAAAAUCUGGUGAUAAAAAAAUUGGUUUUAAAAAAAUUGGUUUUAAUAAAAAAAAUUGGCUAAAUAAAAAAAUGGUGUUAAAAAAAUAUUUGGCUAAAUAAAAAAAUUGGUGUUUAAAAAAAUAAUUGGCUAAAUAAAAAAUUUGGUGGUAAAAAAAUAAAAAAAAAAUUUGGCUGAAAAAAAAAUUGGUGUAAAAAAAAUAAGAAGGCUUUAAAAGAAGGGGUUGAUGAGAGGGAAGGAGGGAAAGAAAGAAGGAAGGAGGGGAGGAGGAGGAAGGAGGGAAAGAGGAAGGGUUGAGGAUGUAAAGAAGGAUGAAGAAGGAAGAGGGAGGUGGAGCUGAAGAGAUUAGAGGGUUGGAGUUGAGAAGGAGGAGGAUCAGAGGCAAAAAGGGAGGGUGCCGAUGGAGGGUUGGUUGCGGAUGAGAGGGGCGGUUGGAAGGGGUGGGUGCGGAUGAGGCUUGCUUAUGGAUGAAGACUACAGUCGAUGAAGACUGCAGUAGCAAGGGAUGUGAGCUACGGAUGCAAGCUGCGGUAGCGCGAAGAACAAGCAAGCGAAUGCCUGCGGACCAACGCUGCGGUCUGAGGCUACUGUCUGAGCCAAAAAGAGAGGACUCGAGUAGCUGACUGCGGUCCGAAUUUUUACGGUCAGCAGAGAAGGUGAGGCUGCGUUCCAAGGACUGAGAAGGGCUACGGGGAGGCUUCUUAGGAGGCUCCGGUAGGCAGUUUUUGGUUGUGGUUCGGGAGCCGAGAUGGGUUGGACAGAUGACGAAAAAUGCUAUUUUUCAUGAAAAAAUGAUGCCAAAAAGUCCAUUUAUUCAUAUUUUAAUGAGGGGAAUCUUUUUUAAAGCAUUUUAGGUCAAAAAGAGGUCUUGGGAAGGCAAAAAGAGGAGUAUGCAAGUGGUGUUAAGGGGACAAAAGUAUAUGGGAUUAGUCAAGUCACAUGGUUUUAUCUUGGGACGGUAAAUAAAAGUUGAAUACUCUUUACCAAAAGGAGUAACAAGGACAUGUGGCUUUAUGCAAACCAAAGACUCACGUCCAUACAUUCUUCAUAAAGAUCUAUAGCAACAAUUUGUUUAUGAACAAGAAAAGUUCAUACAUUUUGGAUGAACAAAAGUUACUGGGAAAAGUCUUCAAGAAAAAUGCUCCAACUUCAUCAAUAAAUGCCCAAAAUUUGUGUCUCAUUUCCAAGAAUAAACACCUCCUGGAACAAGUUCUUCAACAUUUUUAGAGACCAUUAAAAUUUUGUUUUCUUCUCUCAUUUUCCUUCAUUUCUUCAAUCAGCAAAAUAAGAACAUUAAGAACACGAUUUUCAUCAGAAAAUUUGAACAAACAUCAGCAACAAAUUUAUUCUUCUAAGCACAAAACAACACCAGAAAAUAGAAAACUCAUCAUAAAAUUUCCGGUUUGGACCCAAAAAUUCUUGCAAAAAUCCGAAAAAUCUUCAAGAUAAUCACCGAACGGGAGUCGUUCCCUUGAACUAGUCGCUUGAACCCUCAAGAUACGACUCUAACCCCAAUUGAUAGAACCCAUUUUAACGAACGGUGGAUGCAGAAGAAUAAUAUCUCGAGAUUUAACGGAUAUAAAAAUGUAGAACAUAAAGAACAUAUAAUGAGAAAUUCCAUAGAUUAGAAAAGAGAGAUAAAAUAUAACAUUACAAGAACAUGGGUGGGAGAGAAGACUCUCCCUUGGUCGGAGACAUCCCACCACUUUUUCUCUCUCUCUAGAGAAUUUACAUUUUUAGUGCACACAUAAGAAAAUGACCAACUCUCCCUUUAUAUAGGAGGGAGAAAAUACACCUACAAUGCAUUAAAGGGAAAUAAAUAACCUACGUAUCAAUCAUUAUUUGUAUAGCAUGUCCAUGCUCCAACAGGUACAAUUAACAUUCUUGAAUCUUUCCUUAUUAUGUCAAAAUUAGUCCCUAAAUGUGAAAGGUUGGCAAUUCAGUACGCGAGGCGUACGCAUGAGUACACGCAACGUACUCAUACACAAUGCAGAAUCGUGGACGUCACUUAGUACGAUGGGCAUACUAGGCUCAGAUGCAAACCCUAAUAUUCAUUUGUCCCCAUUAAAUAUAACAUGAUGGUCUCAUUUCUGUACACACUUAUCAGCCUCCAGCCCUCUUUAAAACCCUAAUCUUGUGUGUGUGGCUUGUGAGUGUGAUUUUGCAAGUUUUGAGAGAUUCUUGUCUCUUGUAGUUGAAGAAGAAGGUUAGAAAAGAAGAAGAAGGUGCCAUCAAGCUUAGAGAUCCAGAAACCUCCAACCUUUGUGCAUCAUUUUCAGGUAUAAAGUUUAUAACUUGGCUAGUGUUCUUCAAGAUCUCUUUAGUGUAAGAUUUAUGAGGUUAAGUCCCCAAAAUUUGGAGCUUUUUAAGUUUGAGACUCUCCAGGGAGUUUAAGUUGUCCAUUCAUGCAUCUUUAGGCUUCUAGGUUGAUAAAAAUGUUUGCUUGAUCUUACCUUUGGCCCCAUGCAUAAGUAAUGUACCUUGGAAUACAUGAAAUGAUGUUUUAGCCUCUCCUAGCCAUUCAAAUUCUUAAAGCCCACAACUUUAUAUAUUAAGAGGUCUUAAAUUAGUCAGAUCUAUGGAUGGAGUGGUUGUCUUAACAGAUUAAAACAAAAAAAAAAUAAGGAAAUAGAAGUGCAUGGAGUACACUGUAGCUACUCCCAAUUACACGCAAUGUAAACGGAGAUGCUCUGUCACAUGCUUAGCCAGGUUGUACACCCAACGUUAGGGGUAGUACGGCCAGCGUACUCGCUGGGUAUUGACUUUUGUUGAUUUUGACUUUUGGUUAAAAUUUAGGGUUUUGGACCUAGGAAGGGGAAGAAUGGUAUUUUUCCCUUAUUAGGUUUAAACGUGGACCUUGAACUCGUGAGUGGUUUGGACCAUAACUUCAAUAAAGGUUAAUUUCUUUGUUAAUUUGGCGAAGUCUAGAUUCGAAAGCUCGGGUGCUAGGUUUUCAUGUCAUCAGUAUCAGGUGAGUCUCCUCACUUACUCUUUAUAGUAGGCUAGCUAUAAUAUCAUGACCAACUAGGUCUAGUUAUUAUGUUAUGUUAUAUGUUGAUAUGAUAUUUGUUUGUGACUAGGGAUGUUGAUAGCCAACCGAGGGUUACGGAUAACCUUACAAGCGUGUUGUUAGCUCACUAGGAUUGCUGAUAGUCCCAGGGUUGCAGAUAGCCCACAAUUAUUUACUUAUGUUAUUUUAUAUGUGGUAUCUUGGGGAGCUCACUAAACUUUAUGAUUACAGUUGUUGAUUUGUAUGUGGCAGGUACUUCGUAGAACCACAGGAAGGCGAAGCUCUGAUUUUACACAUGCACUGGGAAUUUACUAUCGGUACAAGAUCUUUUAUGUACUUUGAUAACUAUGAUAUUUAUGGUUUUGAGAUGACUUGUAAUUGAUCUGCUUGUGAAACUAUGUUUUUAGAAGUUUUAAAAAUGAAAAAUUUGGUUUGAAAUUUGAGGUGUUACAUAUACCAUAUUAUCACAAUAAAGUAUACGACUAUUCUUUCAUCCGAAUUAACUAGAUCUAAAUAUUAUUUAUAUGUCUUAGUUUAGAACAUAGACGAGACUCCAAAACUUGUAAUCAACAUUUAAUAUUAACUUUUGUUUAAAAGAAACUUAUUGUAAGUUAUUAUAUAUUCUUAACAUUGAGUAUUUUUUUAACAUGUAGUAAUCUUUUAAGUAACAGUACUUAUUUUUAAGACUAUCUAGUAAUAAUAACAUAUAAAAUUUUAACAAAUAGUUAAUCAUAACCGUAUCACACAAUGCAUGUUAUUAAAUACACAUUUAAUAAAUAUUCCUAAUAAAAAACAUUUCAUUCAUAUAUAAAACAUCUACAAAUAUUUAAUACUUUUAAUAAAUACUUGAAUUAAAAUAAUAUUCAUAAAAGUAAUUAUGUCCUCACUUGAUAUAGGUGGAAGACUCAUGGGAAAUACAGAUCUUUGACUAACACUUCAGAUUCACUUGUAAAACGACCUUAACAUGAAUAUUACCAAGCCUUAAUAUCCGUUCGUAUUUAUAAUUUUAAUUGUUAUAAAGUUUUUUAUUAGAUUUAUGAAUAAUACCAAAAGAACACUAAUAUAUAGUUGAUAAGAAACAACCAAGUAAGAUUUAUCGGAGGUAGGAUCCAUUUAGUAUAUAAAGAUAUAUUGUUUGGAAGAUCGACUUUAAACAAUCCACGAAUCUAGCCUUGUUAUAAGUCUCAUAAGUAAAUCAGUUAGUAUAACGACAGGUAUUACAGAUAGAUCUUAUUUAUAAGUUCAUAAUAAUGAUUAUAAAUAUAGAUAUAAGUUAUACUUAAAGCACAGUAAGCACAACUCAACUUAUAGGUUAUUUAAUGUAAAACUAGACAAUACGUUGGAAGAACUUCGAAAAUGAAAUCUCUAUUUCUUGAGGCCCUCUAACGCUCGAUAGCUUCACUAUUAACACCUAAGAAGUACUAGAACGGGGCCUCAGGGUCUCGUGACAGUUUAAGAGAAGAGGAAGAGAAGUGAGCAACAUUUAAGCGUAAAUUCGACCAUAUAUNNNNNNNNNNNNNNNNNNNNNNNNNNNNNNNNNNNNNNNNNNNNNNNNNUAUAUAUAUAUAGCAAUCACAAAAGGUUGUGUCGUGCCUAGGUUCACCACACCUAUGUCAUGUGUCACGAUUCUAUCAGUUGUUGUAGGGAGUAAGGGUUGAGUGUGAUGGAAACAUGUGUCACCCUCUUGUGGGGCCACGUGUCAACUUUGGUUGACUUGUAGAUACAAGCCCAGGAUGCCAAUACGAAAUCAGGUCUCAAUCACGUAUCAAACAACCUAAUGAUUGCUUGCGAAGGGAAGACUCCUUCUAACCCAAGAGACUCAAUUCUAGUGUUCAUGAAUGUGUUGGUUUCUUUCUUGAUUUAAUAAUCCCUAAAUCUCUGAAAUCUUCAUAGAUAAAAACUUUAUAGUCAUUUUUCAAUGCAAGGAUGGUUUUUUCCAUGAAUUUAGAAGAAACAGAAGGAAUACAUAAGCUUACUUAAGGAAUGAACUUGAUGCAUGAAAGAUGAAAGAAUAUAAUAGAAAAUUUAUAGAUAAACUAAUUGAUUUGAAUUUAAAUUUGUUGGGAAAUUGAACAGAUGUCCCGAAUUUCCAGCAGAUAAUAGCUAACUCACUAAAAUUAACGAUUCUAGAAAUCUCCAAUCACUCAUGACCCUGGAUUGAAGAUUUAUGGGGGUAAGUAUUGUGGGUAGAAUUUUCAGCUUACUAAUCUUACAUCUUAAACUGGAACUAACAUCCUACAAAGCUCAAUAUUUUAGAUUUACUUAGUGUCUUGGAUUGUCAUCGUUUAUCUUGUGAAAUCUUAUGUAGGGGUUGAAGACCCUUGAGAAUUCGGGUCAAAUGAAGAACAAGGAGAAUCCCAAUAUUCUUAUAACUUUAGUUAUUAUCGUUAUGUAUAAUGACUAGUUGAUUGCAAGCACAUAAGUACACAUACACACACACACACUUCUCACCACUCUCUGAUUAAAUCAACACUUGCGCAUAAACUCUUUCUCUUUAAGAUCAGCUUGCACUUGUACCUAUUUGUAUUGAUAUACUAUAAGUUCUGAGGCUGGUGAGUUUAUCACCUUUCGACGUUUUAUGCUAGUGAUCAUGAAGGAUUAAGGGCUUUCCUCGUAUAUUAUAACGUUCGUAUCUUGAGUUUACUUGUUAAUGACUUUUUAACAAAUCACAACACUUUUUGCACACUUAUUUCUAUGUUAUUCAAUUUACACAUUAAAAUAUCAUGAUAUCCCAUGGCAUCUUGAUAUCUUUUUGAGUACCUAUUACCUUUUUUUAUGUAUAACUCACUUGACAUUUAUCUUUUCACUAUUGUUUCCGAAUUACUUGAAAUACGCUUGUUCACCUUCCAAAAUGAAACAAUUCUUUUCGACAUUUUUCUAAAUAUCAUUAUCUUUUUCCAGGAUCUUGGGCACUAACAAGAUCUUUGGUGUAUUUUAAGAUCAUUAACACUUUGAUUCUCAAUAUCAUAAAAUUAACAUCACACCAAAUUGCUAAUUUGCUUACGAAAUUAGGUUGUUAAUUUUUGAUCAAAACAUGAUAUAUAUUAUAAUACAUCGUAUAGUAAGAUAACUCACUUGAAUAGUAUCGAAACAGUGAAGUAUGUAAUUUUGCAAGCUAUUUGACCAACACGUAUCAACCAAUAAUAUACUUUAGAUGUUAUUAACUAUUUGACUAUAGUAACUAAUAUUUAGAUUCUUCAUUAAUCCUAAAGAAUACUUUAAGUUAUAUAUGAUAAGGUACAAGUCAACAAUGCUAGCGUCUUAAGUUCUACGGCGUCAACUUAUAAUAUAGUUACCCGAUUGUAAUAUUUUGUAUAAUAGGCAGUUAUUAUAGAUAAAUAUAGAACAUAUAUCACAUAUGUAAUCUUUGUUAUAUGGAUCUGAUCAUUAGUACAUAUUAGAGGCAAUCCCUUCAAUCAAGUGAUAUACAUGUAUAGAUUAGUAUAUAUACAACAUUGGGGAAACCCUAAUGUCGUGGGUUAGUGAUCGUGGCUUUGUGUCAAUCGUCUUUGUGACAAACCCAUCUUCUUGGUGCAGACAAAACCUCUUUUCUAGGUAAAAGGAUCAAUUUGGAGAACUUUCAUGUUAUUUACUUUCUGUUGAUUAUUUUGCUUAUAUUAUUUUUACGUUUCUUAUUCAUACAUGAAAUAUCUCCAAUCAAAUACAAUCCUUUAAUUGGUAUCAGAACAGGUUUUUGAUCAACUCAUGUUAUUAUGUCGAUUUCAAGCAAUUUAAAAUCCUUUGGUUUCAACAAAAUUCCUACAUUCGAUGAACACAACUUUGUUGUGGGGAAAACGAAGGCCAUGGUGGUUCUUGAAACCAUUAACUAUGAGAUCAAAAAUAUUUUUGAAAAAGGUCCCCAUGUCCCUAUGUACCAACCCAUGGCAAACAAUGCUCCAGGUUGCCCCUGAAGCAAAAGCCAACAACAAGUUAUGAUGGCGAUGACAAAAGUUUGCUCAGUCUUAAUGUGAAAGCCAGGGAAACUAUUGGAAAAUAUCUUCCAUACCAUGUGUAUCAUCUCAUAUAGAAUUGUGAAUCGGCACAAGAGAUGAUGGACACACUGACUGUAGCUUAUGGAGGCACUGUGGAAGUCCAGGCUACGACUAUCAACAAUCAUAAUCGAAGAUACGAUCAUUUAUUUACUCAACAAGGUGAGUCUCAUGCCCAAACCUCCAAUAAGUUUAAAUGUUUGGUCAAUGAUAUGCACAACAUGGGAAUCGUUAAGCACUCAUCACAGUUGGUUCUGAAGUUUCUCGAUUCUCUUAGGAAAAGUUAGGAACAUCACGCUGAUGUUCUUAACAACUAUGAGAAGAUGGAUUCUGUGGAUCUAAAUUCAUUUUUUUUGGUAAUCUUCAAAAUUAUGAAAAGAACAAAGCUCUUCAUAAGGAAAUCAUAAAGGAAUCCAGAAAGGAAAAAUAUGUUUCCAUAAUGUCUCGAAAGGAAAUAAGGAAGACCGUCAUCGACUCAAAAAAUCCAGACCGUGGUAAGCAAAUUAAUGAAGUUUUCACCGAUGAGCUUCUCGUCAGCGAUGCACUUAUCGUCAAGAGUUAUUACGAAAGCAAAGAAGACAGGGUUAUAAGAGCUUAAUUCAAGGGAAAAGCUCAGCAAAAAUAUCCACUUCAGAGAAGAAAAGCUCAGGUAAUUGCUUCAAUUGUGGCAACCUUAACCAUUUUUUCAGGGAUAGCAAGGAGAAGAAAGAAGCCUAGAGUCCUGCGAGCUAUGAAGUUUUGUACAAGAAACUGGUGGCUCAUAUGAAGAAGAAAAACAUCUCUCUUCCAAAAGCUUUCAUUGCAAAACAAGAGGACCAUAAAGAAUGGGUGGAUAAAGAGGAGACAUAUGAAGAUGAGGCACUGAAUGUUAGCGGUGUCAUGGCUCUUUUAAAUGAUUCCCCUAAUGGCAUUUGUGACGUUGAUGGUUCGCAUACUGAUGAAGGAUAAAGUCUAAAUCUAGCUCAAACUGGUACCUAGAGAAUGGAAGCUCUAGACACUUAACCGGUUACAAGUCCCUCUUAAAACAUUUUACAAAGAAGGAUGGACCAAUGGUAACCUUUGGUGACAAUAGUGGAAGCUCUAUUUCUGGUUUUGGAAUGUUUGAAUGUAGAAUGAUUAAGCUGGAGGACAUGUUUUAUGUAUAAGGUCUUAAAAUCAACUUCAUCUCCAUCAAUCGACAUUGUGAUGUUGGUUAGAAUCUUCUUUUUAACUUUCAUGAGGGAAAAGUGUUUGAUUCUGAAAACAAUAUCAUCCUUUCUUCUCUCAGAGAGAACGAUAUUUAUAUGGUUUGAUUUGUUGAUUUUGACGCUGAUACUUCAUUUUGGUUUUAUACUUUGCUACUUUUAAAAUUUUGAACAUAAGCUACUACACAUUUAUUUUUUUUGGCAUGUUUGCAUUAAAAAUUUCUCUUAAUGUUUACCAAAGAAGUAUACAUUGUGAAUACACUUUCUUUUUCUUCUAACAUUUCCUACAUGAUCUUCUCCACAAUAGUGACCUUAUCUGAAUGAUCUACUUUAAAGAGAUCAGCAUACCAUUCCUUGAAUGCAUCACUCUCCUUGUGAAUCCAUUUGAUGCUGACUCUGCAUCUUUUCUUUAGCACCAAUUGCCCUCUCACUAACAUUGAUGCACAUGUUGAUUAACAUGUUGCUUCAUGUUGAUCAGAACAGAUGGGGAAUAACUGUGCCAAAGGAUGUUCUUCUGGGCACAUAUGUCCUCUAUCUUGAAUAGCAUAUUUCUGUUUCACUAGGAUAAGAUGAAUUUAGGUGAUCUGGCAUGACUAAUUUCCAUAGAUUUUCUCACUUCAACUUCAUCACCUCAAAGAUCCAAAGACGUCUUCAAGAAGACAGUGAUCCCACCUUCUCCUCCUUUACAGAUCUCAAUGUAUGGAACCUUCGAUAUUUGUCUUCGUGACUCUCAUAACUCUAACGUGACAAAGAUUGGAUCCGUCUAAGUCAUUGGUCAUAAAGACUGGUUCAUGUUCUUCUUUUGUUCUUGGUGAACCUGAAGCUUGGAAUCAAUCUGUAGAAUCUCAACGAUUAAAGGCAUUCUUUCUCUCUUUAUUUACUAUGAUUUGUGUUAUUGUAUGAUAUGGAUGAUCUUUCUUGUUCUCUUUUAUAGCUAAAAUUUCAAGUGGUAGAUAUAUCUGAAAAUGGAAAUGUAAUAAUGACCAUUCAAUUCCAAAAAUUUGAUGGAACGUGCCUUUAUCACCUUUCUGAAAAAGUUGCACAUAUUUCUCUAUUUAAACUAUUUCCUUGUUUGAAUAAUUCUUUUUUUUUGUAUUCUAAUAUUGUUUAUUCUUUUACACCAUUUUUUAAAGGAAUCUGAUGGUGGCAAUCCUAAGCCUAGUAUGCAACUUUUGACACUUCAUUGUCCCUAGAAGCAUGUUGUUGUAUGUGACUAAUCUUUCUAUGUUUCUCAUUAGCGAGACCAUCUGUUGAGAACAUUGAGUCACCCUCUCAUAUUGAUUGUUUAAUACUUUCUAAACCCUCAAAUCAAGAUAUCUUGGUCCAAAUAAAAAAUAUUGAUAAAAUGGAUAAGGUGUUUGUUUUUUUUCAAGUUAAUCAUCUUUACCUGACCCUGUCCCUGGAAGCAUGCUUUCCGUAUGCAUCAAGUCUCAAGUUCUGCUGAAACAUUGAGCAUAACCCAAUGCCUUACCCUGAUUGCAUAAUCAUCAACGUAAGAGAUACUUGUCAUGUCCUUAAAUGACAAUUAGUUAUUCAUGUCCCUGACCUCCUAGUUUGAGAUAGAGAUGGUACCAUUAUGAAUUAACGGUGAAUCCUUGAUUCUAGAUUGCAACUUACUAUAUGAUACAAGAGUUUAAACCACUUCUUGUUGACGAAUUAAAUUGUUAAUUGUAACACCCUGUUUAUUUAAUAAAUAAAUAAAUAAACAAAUUAAUGAAUGAAUAGUAGCCCAAAAACUAAUAAUUAUAUCGCAAGGUGCUGGUCUCGAGGAGUUAACUGUCAUAAUUUUAGAAAGCGGGGAUUAAAGUACAAAUCCGAACUUAAUUUGUAAGUAUUAUUGAAGGCAUGGACUAAAUGGUAACUUCUGGGACUUCAUUUGAAGAGAGUUUGGAGGCUAAGGGGCUGUUUGGUAAUUUAUGGAUCAAAAUUGAGAGGAAUUGUGGAAGCAAGGGUGUAAUUGGUAAAUCUUUUACCUAAAUUGUAAUGAAUUUUAAGGUUGAAGGCUGAAAGGGUAAAUUAUGGGUUAGUUUCGAAAUAAUUUCAUGAGGAAGGGACCAUUUAUGCCAUCAUGGCAAUCAUUCCCAUUGAUUCGGAUAUAUAAGCCUAACGAACCCUAACCCUAAUGUUAAAAUGCUCAGCCGUCACCUCCACCUUAUGCCUCCUUCAACUCCGGUGUCAUCACCACCCAUCUGGUCUGUUCUCCGACCACCUAGCACCAUCGAGCAGCCUCUAGACACCACUACUUCAUCAAUCGCCAUCAGCAACCAACACUAUCGAACCCUAUUGCCGCCUCGCUACUGCCGUUGCUGUAAGUCCCUAAUAUGCCCAUGUAUCAAUCAGAUCCGUUUGAUGGUGCAGAAUCCCAAUCAAACGGAUGAUGUCAGAUCAAAUAGAAGAGGAGAAGAAGAAGAAGAAUAUGAAUCUCUAUAUGAAUUGAUUAGAAUUAAAGUUCCAGAUACAAAAGAUUCACACACACAAAACAUCACUCUGGCCGUAAACUCUCUUCUGUUCAUCAAUCUCUAAUCCUCACCCUAACACCUAUAUUUAUACUUGGAGAACAUGGGCCGGAUAAAAUGGGCCGUAAAUGGGUUUACGGCCGUAAACACCUUAUGGCCGUAAACACCAAAUUGUUUACGGUCCAUGACACAAAAAAUUUAUUUUUCUAGAAAAGUAAAGUAUAAACCAUAUUUUUGACCCAACAAUCUCCCCCUUGGUUUAUAACUUUCUUUUCUUAAUUGACCCAACAAGAUCCCCCUAAAAGGUAGCUGGCUUUUCUUGUAAGUCUUCAUUGAGAGCUUGGCUUCAGCAUUAAUCUUCAAAUUCUUCACGACUUCAAGAUGCACUUGAUGAAUCUUUAAUGAAUGACUUCAUCUUGAGCAGUUGGGUUUUUCUUCACGAUGAACUUGAUGAAUCUUUAAUGAAUGACUUUGAACGCACAUUGGGUGAGGAGGCUUCUUGUACUGAUUCUUGAAAGAUGGCGCUUUCAGCUUGAGAAUCUUCAGAGAGAACAUCAGAGAGAACAAAUCUUCUGGAUCACUUCAGCAGGUUCAUAGAUAGCAGCAGACUGACUGAGGAGGCUUCAAUGCAAUCCGUCACAUAAUCUUCAAUUUCUGCUUCACUUUACUUCUGGGGUUGAAGGAUUGAAUGUCGAACAAAUAAUCUUCAUUUCUUGCUCCUUCGAAUGAGAAUUCUUCGAUGCUCACGGACGAAGCCUUGGCUCAGAAAUCUUCAACACAAACUCCAUGAGUUUCAUCUUCACCUGAAAUCACUUUUCAAGACAAAAUAAAACUAAAAGAAAAGUUAGAACAAAAAGUAACACAGAAAUAACACUAUUUUUUGAUUUUGAAUUUUUUUAUUUUUGUUUGUUUUUUUUAUUUUUUUUAACUUUUUUUAUUUUUAAUUCUCCCCUUUUAUUUAAAUUAGAAGAACACUAUGAACAAACUUAACAAAAAUAAAAAUAAUAGCUAACUUUAAGAGUGAUUUGGGAUCAAAGUUGUUAGACAUUCCAUACACUAGUGACCAAUUAGAAGUUGAUGACUAUGAAGGGUUUCUGGAUCUUGGUUUCAUGCAACAAGUUGUUGUUUCUACUUUUCCAUUAAAUGUUUUCCAUCUUGCUUCUUGUUUUGAGGGGGAGGUUUCUCAAGAGGUUCCUCAAGGAACAAAUAGUGACAUUGAUUUUGAUGAUGGUGUCCAACUCAGUCUUCAAAAAUAGAAGGCUUCCUUCUCAGGAAAGGGCGAGGGGGGCUCUUAACACUAAAGCUGGAAGUUCCUUUGCAGCUAGUGAUACCUCACCACCUCCUCAAAAGGAAAGAAAUAUCAUUUUUUAUAUGAAUUAGUUAGCAGACACAUGGAGCAUACAUAUCGAGAAAGUUAAACAAAUCAUGAUGGAAUACAAUGUUGUUGUUCGACAAAAGAAAGAAGACAGAAAACCAGAACACUUGUCUGCCAAACUUAUUCAAGAACUUUUUUUCGCUGAUAAGAUUGUUGAUGUUUAAAGCACUAAUAAUCAGGUCAAGAAGAUAUUUAAUAACAAUGUGGAAAACUAACACAUUGUUUCAAACCUAAAUGAUCAUAGAAAGAAGUUUGGAGAUGUUCUUACUCGAAGAACAAAGUUUGAUACCAUCAUAAAAGUAAGAUGCAUGAAGUCAAAGAACGAGUCAAUAAAUCUUUACAUGGUUAGAAAGAAGGAGAAAUUUGAAUACACUACGGUUGUAUUUGCUCGUGAGCUAGUCAAAUUUGGCUACAACGAGUGGAUGUAGAUUCUAGAAAUCAUCGACAAACAUUAAAGGGUUCACGCCCAAGAAGUGAAAUUAGCAAUCCAACAUCUUCUCCACAAGGUAAAGAAACUUAACCUGAUGCCAUCUGCUGGUCAAUAAACGAGUUCAUCUAAAUCAACCUCAUUAGGAAGAGUAGGCGCUCCAAGAUAGUCCAAUGAUGAAGAGAAUUGUCAACGAGAUUAUGAAAGCAAUUAUGAUUGAUUGAUUGAAAAGUAAGAACACAACGAGUAAAUAUUAAUCAGAUCUUAUAUUGAUGAAGACUGAUUACAAUGCUUUAAGCAGAAAGAAUACUCAAGUUCAAAAAUAUAUCUUUUCUACUUCUAUCCUCAUCCCCUAUUUAUAGGAAAACUGAGUGUACAAAAAAUAUACUAAGUCUAUUACAAUACACUUCGUAUAAAGCAGUGACUUAGUAAAAUAACUAAUAUGCGAAACUAAAAGAAACAACCACUUCGACUUUUUACAAUACAUAGACACUACAAUCUCCCCCUUUGUAAACAGUCGAAGCUAUUCAGUCCAUAAGCCUCUGAACAGCUGAGUGAAUUGUCUUUCGCACUUCACCAUACCAAGUAAUCACCUUCUUAAGCUCCCUCUUGUCUCCUUCGUUAUUCUUCUUGCAGUUAUUCAUAUGAACAAUAAAAUUCGUAUAUUGCGAAGAAGUAUAUCUUUUAUUUUCCGAGACCUUGAACAAAAUUUUCUUGGACUUCCCCUUUGUAUCUCUUCCUGAAAAUACCAUGCCAAAAGGUUUCAAGCAUAUUUCACCAACAGCAUACUUAGAUAAUGCUGACUGGGUCAAGGUAUCUUCCCAGGGGACAUUCACUUCCCUUCCCAAGGUCGUUCCGAGUUCUUCAUCGGUUAAUGCCAAACAGUCAAAGUAGUUAUCAAUAAAAGUCUUGACAUGUGCGAAGCCGAUUCUAAACACUUCAGUUUCAGAUCCUUUGAGCUUGGGAUCUUGCAUGUGUUUCAAAAUAAGAGCUACUUGGAUAAGAUCAUUGCAGUUCAUCAGAGGGAAGCCAGCUAUCGUAAAGUCAUAUUGUUUGUUAUCAGCUCGAAUGACAAAAUAUAGAAUGUUCUGAAGCAUGUCUUCAAACAUCGAAUCCUUCUUAAUUGUCAACACCUUUUUAAUCUUCAUCAAGGACCAUACUUCAUCUGGAUUCUUUCCCAAUACAGCAUGAAAUCUGAUUUUCAUGUGUAUGUAGUCAUCAGCAUUAUCAAACUUCUCACUUAUCUUGUACUGAGCUAUUAUGAGUAGCAUUUCAUUAAUCGGAAAAUCCAACUGGCAUUUGUCCAAAUUCGCAAUACAUCUCUCUCCCCACCACUUUCGACUCUAUAGUUUCAUAAGAAUAAAGCUUCACAGGAUCUCCUUUAUUCAUUGUGGGAGGAUCACUUGCCCUUUGCCUCAUUAUGCUCUGAACUUGCCUCAACCUUUCUAUUUCAUCCUCUGCUUCAGCUUUCUUCUCCUUCUUCGACUUUUCAUACACAAUCCCUUUUCCUUUUCCCACAUCAUCAGUUGGAGGUUUCGCACUAGAACUUCCUUCUUUUGACCCAAUAGAUAUUCCUUUGGAUAUUGGUCUUGUGGUCAUUAUUGUUGAGGAAAUUGGCAUUGUGAAUAUUGGAAGAGUAGUUUUGAGCUGAGUGGAUAUCACUUUCCCCACAGUCUUCGCAUCAUCCUCUUUACUUGUAUUCUUCUCUCCCCCUUGCACCCCUUUGAAAGCAGGUGGGGCAUUCUUCGGUAGUAAAGAGGUAAAGUUCGCAAUAGGAGCAAGUGCCUUCUGAAUUGCUUGUUCCAAAGUAUUGACUUUGAGAGACAAGAAUUCAGGAGUGAGAAUGGUCUGAGAUGUAGGUUGUGAAAUCAAAGUUUUCAACUCAGUCAUCAACUGAAUCAACUGAUCGAAUUUCUCCUUGUUUUCUUUCUGAUUGGCUUCAAGAAUCGGAGUAGGAGAUUGAAAAUCAUUGAUAACUUUGUUCAGGGCUGUUGCAAUCACAUCAACCCUCUUCUGUACUUCCAAAUUUUGAGAAGUAAUAUCUUGAAGCUCCUUCGCAAGUUCUUUCUUUAAUUCCUCAACUUUAAAGUUGACAUCCUCCUUAACCUUCUUUACAUCCUGCACAAAAAGAACGUGAUGUUCUUUUGCAACAGUUUUCAAUUCCUUAACAGCACCAUUAAAUGAACUCACUUGAGCUUAAAUGCGAAGCUCAUUAUUCUUAUCUGACUGAUCAGCUUUAUCAAGUAUUGUCUUUUCAGCAGCAUUGAUCAUAGCUUCAACCUCCAAUCCUGAUAGAGAUGACGUUGUACCAGAAUCAGCUUGUGACUGAAUAAUGGCAUUCAACUUUUGAUUUAGGAUUUUGAAUUGCUUUCCUGUCAUAAGCAUAUGAUCAGGUAUCUCCUCCUCCUCUGAAUCAAAAUGUAAAUCCUAAAAUAUUCCUCCAAAACCUCUUCCUUCGGUUUCAUCAUCGGACAUGGGUUGCGAAGGUUAAGCAGUUUCGUGUGAUUGUGAUGGAAAUAAGGUUGUGAAUGGAUGUUGUAGAGGAUGAUAAAAAAUGGAUGAGGUAGAAAGUGUAGGAGUUGGAAGUGAAAACGGUGGUAAUGAAGUAGAUACCUUCGCAAAUGAAAAAGGUAUUGAAACAGAUAGGCUAACGGGAAGAGUGGUUUCAACACUUGUGUUAGGUGCCCCCGUAUCAGAUACGUUUACAACCGUAUCAGAAAUAGGUACCUUGUGACAACUGUCAAUUGAGGUCAUUUUCGGACUCAUGCAUCUUUAUAAAAACCAUUCAUGCACAACAUGCCAUGACCUAGUAGUAUAAAUUAGGUCAAAAAUCUUGCAUAAACUAGGAUCCAACUAAGGUCUAGGACUAAUAUACUUGAUACUUAUAAUUCUAGUAAGUUGCUUAGCUACAAUAGGAAAUGCCAAUACUAUAAUUAGAAUAAAGCUUCAAGCUUUGUUAUAAUUGAAACAUGGUAUAAAACCCUAAAAAAAAAUAAUAAAAAAUAAAUUAAAACAUUCUAAUUAUACUUCAACAUGUUGUUGAAUAUCAAACAAUAUUCCAAAAACCCUAAAGAGCCAAAAAUCCAAAGUUAUAAAUUAUAAAGCUUAAAAACUUUAUAAAAUUUGGCUAUAAACUUCCUAAUAUCAAAUUUUUAUUAAUCAAAUUAUGAAUUAUAGUCAAUGAAAUAGAAACUAAAUUACCAAGUAUUAAUCAUAAUUCAUUUGUUGAAAACAAGAUUUUAAAUAAAUCCAAAUUUGCUUAAUAAUCACUUUUAUAAAAAUUAGAUUUUUAUAAAAAUUAAGGAGGGAUUUUUAUAAAAUUUGAAUUGAGGAGAGAGAAGGCCCUAAUCCACUCAAAAAUCUGGCCAUUCUCCCCUCCCCAUGCUCCCUCUUCCCAAAAACUUCAAUCAUUAAGUCAAAACCCUCACUCCACCUCUUCUUUCUCCACUCUCUUACACUCCACUCUUCACACACUUCACUCUCUUCUUCCCUCUCUCUAAACUCACGAAAAUCCUCUCAUUUCUCUGCAAAAUUUCGAGAUUGUGAAGCCCUUGAAGUGUUCUUACUUCUCUCAAGGUCAAAACCAAGGUAAACAACAACAUCUUCUUCCAUAGUUUCAUGGUUAAACCUCUUUUUCUUCUUAGUCUUCUCUACUUUUCGGAUUCUAUGCCUUUCCAUGACUAGAAAUCUUUAUUCUCCCCUUGUGGUUUGUAGAUUCUCACCAUAACACAAUGCAUGUGUUAGAGAUGGUGAAAAUCCGGGAUCAAACCCAUGCAAGGAGUGAAAAAGAUGCACAUAUGAUCAUGUGACAUCAAAACCUAAUAUUUCAUGUUCUUCUCCAUUUCUUUUGUGUUCAUGCAUGAACAAAAGCAUUUAAACCAUUUCUAGUACAUCUUGGAUGCUCAUUCAUUCCAUGCAUGUGUUAGAAAUCGGGCCUUACCAAAGACAUGCAUGAUGUUCUUGUUGAAAUACCCUAAUAAUGCACACAAGCAAACAUGCAAUCUGCCAGAUUACUUUGUUCGACUUUGAACAGUCAUAACUCAGUCAUUUCUUAACCAAAUCAUGAUAUUCUUUUUGUAUUGGUUAGUUCCACGAGUUAACUUUCAAACCCAACUGGUCUUACUGUAAAAUAUUAAAUAUCCGAUUUUUGGCAAUUUUUACAAAAAGAUUGCGCAUACAGCUCUUUUUCUGUGAUCACUAUUUUUGUCUUGCAUAAUCAAUGGCCUUAAACCCAACCAUAAAUCUGAGGAAAAAUACCUUAGAAACUUAACAUAUCUAGUGAAUGAUGGUUGAAAUUUCGUGGCUUAAAACCUCACUGAAUGGGCUACAAAAAUUCAUGAACCUCAGCCACAUCUACACUUCAUGCAUUAUUGCAUGCAACUUUUCUUAAAUUGUUUGGAAUCAUUACCCUCAUUUCUCUUCUGAAUACAUUUUUUUACAUUUUUCCUUUUGAAAGCCCUUGCAUGCAUGAGAUAAUCUGGAAAAUUUCAAGAGCUUUUGUUAUUUCUUUGAUUUAUUAGAGUUAUUGCUAAAACCAAGGGCAUAAAUCAUAUAAAAUACUUACAGAGGUCAAUAAAUCCUAAAUAAAUUCAUGGACGAUCCUUAUGGGGAAUAAUGACCCCUCAACAAACUUAAGCAAUUUUUGUUACUGUUUAAUACGACUUAUAAUUUUCUUUUGUUUAGGACAUGAUAAAUUACAAAACCACUUUAGAGGAUAUGAAAAUUGUAUCUAAGAAUUUUCGCAUACCUUACCUGUGAUGGGUGACGCCAGAAAAUAAUUUCAAGAUUUUUCAUCAUGUCUUACUAUUUUUCCCAAGUUUUGGUAAUUAUAAUGGUCUAAAAAUGGGAAAAAUAGUUCUGAUUAUCCAAAAUUCAUGAAAAUUUACUAGGAUAUCAUAUUAUACAGUAGGAGGUUACAUAAAUAUUUUGACGAUUUUUCUCUACUGUAAACUAUUUUUCUCUUAUUUUCUAAAGUUAAUUGCAUUAAAAUGCACUUAAAUAUGCAUAAAUACCCAAAACCAGUUUAUACAUUAUGAAAACCCCUUUUAAUAUUUUUCCCAGGAUAUUUAUACUGUAAAUGAUGUUACAAAAAUUUAUGGUGAUUUAUUUUAACUGUUUAAUAUUAUUUCUUCAAUUAAUGACUAUUUAAAGGAAUAAANNNNNNNNNNNNNNNNNNNNNNNNNNNNNNNNNNNNNNNNNNNNNNNNNNNNNNNNNNNNNNNNNNNNNNNNNNNNNNNNNNNNNNNNNNNNNNNNNNNNNNNNNNNNNNNNNNNNNNNNNNNNNNNNNNNNNNNNNNNNNNNNNNNNNNNNNNNNNNNNNNNNNNNNNNNNNNNNNNNNNNNNNNNNNNNNNNNNNNNNNNNNNNNNNNNNNNNNNNNNNNNNNNNNNNNNNNNNNNNNNNNNNNNNNNNNNNNNNNNNNNNNNNNNNNNNNNNNNNNNNNNNNNNNNNNNNNNNNNNNNNNNNNNNNNNNNNNNNNNNNNNNNNNNNNNNNNNNNNNNNNNNNNNNNNNNNNNNNNNNNNNNNNNNNNNNNNNNNNNNNNNNNNNNNNNNNNNNNNNNNNNNNNNNNNNNNNNNNNNNNNNNNNNNNNNNNNNNNNNNNNNNNNNNNNNNNNNNNNNNNNNNNNNNNNNNNNNNNNNNNNNNNNNNNNNNNNNNNNNNNNNNNNNNNNNNNNNNNNNNNNNNNNNNNNNNNNNNNNNNNNNNNNNNNNNNNNNNNNNNNNNNNNNNNNNNNNNNNNNNNNNNNNNNNNNNNNNNNNNNNNNNNNNNNNNNNNNNNNNNNNNNNNNNNNNNNNNNNNNNNNNNNNNNNNNNNNNNNNNNNNNNNNNNNNNNNNNNNNNNNNNNNNNNNNNNNNNNNNNNNNNNNNNNNNNNNNNNNNNNNNNNNNNNNNNNNNNNNNNNNNNNNNNNNNNNNNNNNNNNNNNNNNNNNNNNNNNNNNNNNNNNNNNNNNNNNNNNNNNNNNNNNNNNNNNNNNNNNNNNNNNNNNNNNNNNNNNNNNNNNNNNNNNNNNNNNNNNNNNNNNNNNNNNNNNNNNNNNNNNNNNNNNNNNNNNNNNNNNNNNNNNNNNNNNNNNNNNNNNNNNNNNNNNNNNNNNNNNNNNNNNNNNNNNNNNNNNNNNNNNNNNNNNNNNNNNNNNNNNNNNNNNNNNNNNNNNNNNNNNNNNNNNNNNNNNNNNNNNNNNNNNNNNNNNNNNNNNNNNNNNNNNNNNNNNNNNNNNNNNNNNNNNNNNNNNNNNNNNNNNNNNNNNNNNNNNNNNNNNNNNNNNNNNNNNNNNNNNNNNNNNNNNNNNNNNNNNNNNNNNNNNNNNNNNNNNNNNNNNNNNNNNNNNNNNNNNNNNNNNNNNNNNNNNNNNNNNNNNNNNNNNNNNNNNNNNNNNNNNNNNNNNNNNNNNNNNNNNNNNNNNNNNNNNNNNNNNNNNNNNNNNNNNNNNNNNNNNNNNNNNNNNNNNNNNNNNNNNNNNNNNNNNNNNNNNNNNNNNNNNNNNNNNNNNNCUCGGCAAUUCAUACCUACUUCCUUGCCUAGACUUGAAUUUCGGGACGAAAUUCCCUCUAACGGGGGGAUGAUGUGACAACCCAAGUUGUCCCGUUACAUUUCCCCGUUACCGUUAACGGAAUAUUCCACUGUAUAAAAGUUCCGUUAAUUAGAGGGCAUCAAUUUAAUAAACAUUCCAUUUGAUUACCUUUAACAUGCCGUUAAGUCGUGAUAAAAGGAAAUAAAAACACAGGACACACAUUUUCAUUCAUUUGGAAAAUGUUAAGUUUUAUUAUUACGACCACUAAAUCGGGUGCGACCAAAAGCCCCGUUUGACGGUAGUAUCCGGUAAAAUUCCACUGAGCCCCGANUAUAUAUGGGUGAGUGGAGUCCAUUGGAGACUUUUUACACUCUCUCUCUAAACUCUCUCUCUAGACCCGUUUUCGCCCCGAAUUCGCAACCAAACGCUUCCAUAUUGUAAGUCCGCUUACCCUAGCCUAUUCUAAACAUAUUGAUUCAUGUGUAUGGACCAAAAUACGGAUUUAGAAGCAAUGGAAAAGGAGUUUACGGCCUAAGCUUUUUCUUAGGCCGUAAACACCUAAAACAAGGCCAAAACCACCCAAACUUGUCCCCAUUGGCUAGGAAAUAAAUUGAGGAAAUAGCCUAGGAGUGUUUUAACAUAAAAACUCACGGAAUUAGGGGGUAAAGGAGAGUUUAUGGCCCAAGCACAAGCUUAGGCCGUAAACUCCUCAAAAUAAUGUCAAAAGUGCCCCAAAACACUCCCAAACUCAUCCUAGGGCUUGUUACAUAAUUUAGGGACUUAUCCUCUUGAGUUUAGACCCUUGAAACACUCCAAAAUGAAUUAAUGAAAGGAGUUUACGGCCCAGACAUGGUCAAGGCCGUAAACACCCUAAUUCAUGCCCAAAAUUGUAGUUUUUGCCCCCCAAAUGACCAUAGGCUAUUUCUAUAAAAUGCUAGAAAGGAAUUAAGGGCUUAAACACAAGGAAAAUGAGGGAUUUCUUGGAGUUUACGGCCCAAGCAUUAUCUAGGCCGUAAACUCCCCAAAACCCCCUCAAAUGUUGGUUUUAAUCACCCAAAAUGGCAUCACACUUCAUUAGAAAUCACUAGAAAGGCAUUAGGGGCUUGAAACAUCACAAAACUCAAUGAUUUAGAGUUUACGGCCGUAAACUCCUUUAGGAGUUGUUCUUAGGCCGUAAACUCCAUUAUAAGGCCCUUAGAAGCCUCAAACCCACUCAUGCCUUUGAGGAAAAGUGCUUAGAAUAAUUCUAUGAACAAGCUAGAAGCAUCAAACACCCAAGAAUAUGACCUUGGGAGUUUACGGCCGUAAACUCCCUUAGGUUGGGCCGUAAACUCCUUGUUUGGUCCAUAUUGAUGCUUUAAACCCCUUUACACCCUUGAUACUUGAGUAUAGCAAAGUCCCACAGCUGAUAGGAGACCCUUAGCACCCUUAAACGCUACCCGGGACCCCAAACACUCAACCAAAAGUGUUUUCCACUCCUUUGAGUGUGUAUAAUUGUUUAAUUAGUAUAUUAUAUGCUAAUUGUAUGUGAACAUAUGUUAUCAUAUGUUAAAAUAGGUCCUUGUGUGUGUUCAAGUCCUUGCGUGACCCCGAACGCCUAAACGGCACUACCGUCGGACCUACUUACACCAGGUGAGUUCAUACCCCUGAAUGAACCUUUUAAAUGCUUUUAAAUGUUUUAUAGGGGGGGAUUACAAGUUAAACAUGCCAGUUAUCAUAUCAAUCACAUGUGAUUGAUAACCCGCAUGCACAAGAUUUUACCACUGUACACUGUUUUACCGAGUAGGACACUGUAAAUGGCUUUCAAAAAGGGUUUUUAAAUUGUUCAAGUUCUUACUUAUAUUGCUAUCUAAGAUUCAUUUUCAAAAUGAUUUAUAAUAGAUUCCCAAAGAUUUCUAAAGGUUUUCACACUUAUUUUAUCAAAGAAUACAAAUGCGAUUUUCCUGAGUGAUAAGGUUUUCAAAGAUUUUCAUGAAUACUUUUAAUUGUUAAUCACUGCUGCUUCGCUUAUACUUAUUUUAUACUCCUACUCUGUAAUGCUUUCACUUAUACCUGAAGUCACUUAUACCUGAUGACGCUUAUACUUAUUCACCCUCUUACUUGGCGAUACGAGCCUACUUCGCUUAUACUUGAGAUCGACUUUACUUCACUUAUACUUGAUACGCUCUUACUUCACCUGUUGUCAUCUCCACUUCGCGAUGCGCUUAUACUUAUUCGACAUUUAUACUUCACUUGCGACCGCUCUUACUUCACUUAUUAGACACUCCUACUUCACGAGAAUCACUAUCACUUGAUACCCACUCAUGCGUAGUUAGAUGUAUGUCUGUGCUUGUGUAGACACAUAUAAAUAAUGGUUGAAGGACUUAGGAAGGUUUGUCCACCCUAUUUCCUUUUCUUCGUUAAGAUGUGGUCUGGUGGGAUCGGAUAUCCAUCCGAAGGUCGUUAGAUUCAUUAGUUAUAUACUAUGUUCACGAGCUUAGACAUACGGGUUAUUCCAGUCAAUUCAGUUAAGAGUCUCAACCCCUAUUUUAUACUUUCGUUAGAAACCCACUAUUGGGAAGUCUCUACCUCUAGUCCAGCACUUUCAUUAGAAACCCACUAUUUGGGAUGCAUCUUCGGGACGCGGCCUUCUCCGUCGUCUAGUUGGUAACCAGAGUCUCCUGUAGGGAGAGCGGACAUUAUGUGUAUAGGCCUAUACGGGAUUGACAACCCCGCACCCUGACUGCUAGCUACAGUCCACGGCCCACCAAGCCAAGGGGUGACAAAUGUCACAUUAUAUAGAUGCUUGUAGGGCGUCUGGAACUCUAGUCAGUAUGGUUACGAGUAUCCUGGGUUGCCUUAUAAUUCAUGGCUUUAAGGUAACGGUAUUUCAUCAGCAAUUUACACUGUAUGCUGAUGUCACUUUUCAGAGUCUCCGUUUCGACCUUGCUAGUUGUAUCAUUCAUUUGAUACUGUUUGGGGUCUAUAGUCUCUGUUUCGACCUUGCUAGAUGUAUCUUUCAUUUGAUACUGUCUGGGGUCUAUAGUCUCUGUUUUGACCUUGCUAGCUGUAUCUUUCAAUUGAUACUGUCUGGGGUCUGUAGUCCUUGUUUUGACCUUGCGAGAUGUACUUUUCUUUUGGUAUCGUCUGCGGUCUAUAUUCACUGUCUUAGACCUUACUAGCUGUACCUUUCACCUAGUACCUUCUGGGGUCUGUGUCUCCCUUUGUUAGACUGAACCAGGCGUGUCGUUAGUUCGAUACCCUCCUGGAGUCUAUGAUUCUUUGCCUUAGCCAGUAGUCCUCACUGCUGAGGCAUAUGUUAUUCCCUGAUGUCUCUUGCUUUCUUUAAUAAUCAAAUUUAGUAUUUUGAUAAUAAUAGCAAUUAAGGGAGAAUACCUCUUACCACAAUACACUGAACAGUCUUGGUAGAAGGCUGCUUUAUUUACAGAAAAUAUAGGAUUUUGUAGAAAGAACACUGAUGCUCAGAAAACACUUAAACCACUACAUAUCAAAGUUAUUUGACUAAAUGACAUUAAAUACUUAUGAACUCACCAGCAUUUGUAAAAAUGCUGAUACUCGCUUUUCAAAUAACUUAUAAUCUCAGGUCAGCAAUUAGACAGGUACAUCCCCGGAGCUGCUGAUGAAGAUGGCUUAAGUACCUUGCUACACUUUAUAUAUUUUGCUUGUAUUACUUUGAUACUAUGUAAUGUAACCAUGUAAAAUUAUUACUAUUAAUGCAAUGUUUUGUUGUACUUUGAUUACUAUAUGCAUGUGUUGCGAUACUUGACAUGACGUCAUCCACCCCAGAACGUUUCCGCCGUUCCGGUUUUGGGGUGUGACAGAGUGGAAGAGAAACAGUUACCGGUGUAGAAACAGGUGGAGUCUCUGGUACAAUCUCUUUAUCAGAAGACUCGUUGCGAAUGAUCAACUUUCGGUUCUUCAGAAUUGUUUGUUGCAUCUAUUUCGCAUCAUCCUGAACUCUUUUUCUUUUUGACCCUGGAAAAACAUGAGCUGGAACACUUCUAAACGUUACCCCUUUACUGUUGACUUCUGUCUUGCGAAUAGGAGAGGAUUUGCGAAUCUUCUUCAGUACCCCAGAUUUUGAGGGUACAGUUUCCUUCUUUGAUUUUGAAGACGUCUCCUCUAUCUGAACCUCUUCUUCUUGAGUUUGUUUUGAAGAUUGAACUUUUUCAUCCUUCUUAGUGGUCUUCUUCUUCUUUGAGGUUGCGGCAGUGACUUCCAAUAGGAUCCCAGUCUGCGCAGCUGGAUCCAUUGUCUUCAUGUAUCUUACCAACACUUUGUGAGUGGAUGAUACCUUACGAAGCAUCGCAACCAGAAUGCGAGCAAUGUGUGUAAAGAUAUUUUCAUCGUCUUCCACCACCUUCGGAAAUUGAUACAACAAGAAUUCUGCAACCUCAGCACCCUCUAGGACUUGAAUUCCUUCUUUUUCAUAUGCCUUUUCAAGAAUAAGGCUCCAAUACCUUGCACACGAGAUUCCUUUUUCAGAAUUCGUAUUUUCAAGACUCUUUAUGAACUCCUUCCACAACUGAGUUCCGUAAUCCACACUGAUAUCAUAGUAUAAGCCCAUCACCAUCGCAUAAACUUCCAUACGCCCCCUGUCAAGACCUACUGUUCUUCCUGUCAAACAUCUGAGAAAAAUGCCAAAUAGAAAAUUCCACAUACAGGGUAAUCCAGAUUUUCGGAAAUCACUGAUCUUCUUAAGUGCUGGCUGAUGACCCAUCUCAUUGAACAUAAAGAUGAUUUGAGAAUUGAUGGGUUUGAAAAAUGGAGGGUUGUUGGGAAUGUUCAAGAACUCAAUGAACAUUUUCUUCGUAAGUCGAACCCUUUUGUUGUUCAUCAGUUUGAAUGUAAUCACGUCAGUGGCAUAGUUGUAGGAAGCCGAUGAUGCUGCCAAUGACAACCAUGUCAUCGGAACUAAGAAAGGACUGAACAUGGCGGUGGACAGUGGAGAUCUUUUCAGUGCAACUAUUAACAUCUUCAGUCCUUCUAGGUAAGAAGAUACAUUUAGAUCGACUUGAUAAUUGGUGCUUUGAAUUUUCAUGAGUGAUUGUGAGAGAACCUCGUCUGUGUUGGAUUGAGUGCCAACCAUUUUUAGGGUUUGAACAAGAUGAAUAUGAAGAAGAUGAAGAAAUUUAGGAGUGAGUAUGUUUGUUCGCGUAACCGUAUACAAUGAUCUUGAACCCCCUUUUAUAGGUAACCUGAAUCGAUUUGAAAUUAAAGCGGGAUGCAUUUAAUGUUAUCCGAUGUGGCACCUUGAUAAUCGGACCAUGACAGCAAAAAGGUAGCCAUGCUGCAAAAAGUAGUUGUCACAUCACCUAGAAACCCGGACAAAAUACCAACCAUCUCGUGUACUCAGCCUGUCAAUUUUCCCGUUAUAGAAUUGGAACCGUUAGAACCCUUCGCAUGGAGGCAAGGCUCUUUCACUUUUGGGAUAUAAAGUGAAGUCGUAUGCCAGAUUUGCAAAAUCAUCAGCCUAAGUUGGUAUUACUUAGAACCUCAAGGAAUUCGUGAGUGCAUGUGAGUCAGAGAAAUAAGAUGAGAAGCAAGUUAAAAUUUUUUUUGGAAUUUUGUGAUGUCAAAAAUACAAUUUGACACAAAGAUAGGUAAACCCCAGGCAAAGGUUGCUUCAUUAAUCAUCAAGAGAGAUGAUCAAUAGCUUGUGUAUGUUCCCGUGAAUUACAAUCGAAUACUUUUUGAUAAGUAUCAAAGGGCUUCUUUUGAAAGAUAUUUUUGGGUUGGUUUCAAAUUUCAUUACAUAUCAACCUUAACAUAAGGUGAGAAAUUGUAACUAAAAUUACUUGUAUGACCAGUGUAGUCAGUGACAAGUUGGCUUUUGUAAAUAUUUAUCAUGACUAGGAUUUGCGAAUGAAACUCACACAGAAAUCAUAUUCAUAAAAAUUGUUGGACUGGAUCUUCUUGGGUAACUAACAUCGUGGGUUGCGAAUGUUUGAUCAAGACCACGCAUGCGAAUUGAAUAUGAUUUGGAGUUUCAAAAUUUUGGUACUGAAACAAAAGUUUCGUUAAUACCUGGAAAAAUUUUCCCCAUCAAUUCCUCAAACUUUAGGAUUUUUGGGUUUCACUUUCAUCACGGACUCAUGAUGUCAGAUCAUAAACACAGAAUUUUUGUAUAUCUAAGUCUCGAUGGGUUUGAUUAGAGACCUCUCGGACAUACGUCUUUGUGUGUGAUUUGUGUGAAGAAUUUUGUGAUGAAAAAGAUUGGUUAUCAGAUCUAAUGUACCUCUGUUAUUUGUGGACCAAACAGAAAACUCUUAACUCAUAUGAGAAGAGUAAGGUAGCUCUUUUGACAAAUGUGAAUACAAGCCUUAUUGGGAAGAAAUUUUCAUGUGAUAAUUUCAUUAAGGCUUUCUUUUCUUACACAUAGAGUCAUAUGAGGCUUGAGUCAACAUGCUGCAGCAUGCUUCUAGGGACAUCCUAAUUAGUACAAAUUUGAAAGAAUUGACACCUUCCCAUAGAAACAUAUAAGCAUGACCUCUUCGCAUUAAGCCCUGGACUAAACUCAAAACACACUUAGUUAUCAUGUGUGCGAAUGCGAAGAAAUAUGGAUGCGAAGCCAUGUGAAGCCUCUGAAUGAACAGUAACUUCUGAAUGAUUCUGACUCAUAACUGUUGAAUGGACCUUUCAUUCUUGAUAUUUUAAAACUGAAUUCGAAUCAAUCAUCCCCAAACCUACUAAAAUUCUUACAAAUGAUUUUUCAUCAAGAGGUUUAGUAAAAAUAUCAGCAAGUUGUUCAGUGGUUUUAACAAAAUGAAUUUCAAUAUUCUCAUCUUCAACAUGAUCUUUGAUAAAAUGAUAUCGAAGAGAAAUGUGUUUUGUCUUUGAAUGUUGUACUGGAUUAUGACAAAUGCGAAUUCCACUUUUUGAAUCACAAUACAAGGGAAUCAUUUUCAUGUUUAUCGCAUAGUCACGAAGUUGACUCUAAAUCCAAAUAAUUCCAAAUAAUUUGCAAAGUGCAAGCAACAGCUGAAAUAUAUUCAGCCUCAGCAGUUGAUAUAGCAACACAAGUUUGCUUCUUUGAUUGCCAACUCACCAACUUUCCAUCCAAUAGUUGACAUCCACCACUUGUACUUUUCCAAUCCAAAGUACAUCCUCCUAGAUCAGAGUCUGAAAAAGCUUGAAUGAAGAAUCCCGAUUUCGAAGGAUACCAAAGUCCUAACGAAACUGUCCCCUUAAUAUAGCGAAAAAUAUUUUUCACUGCAGUCAAAUGCGGUUCUCUGGGAUUAGCUUGAUAUCUAGCACAAUUACAUACCGAAAACAUGAUAUCAGGUCUGCUUGCAGUUAAGUACAAUAAGGACGCUAUCAUGCUUCGAUAAAGAGUUAAAUCAACAGCAGGAGUAUCUAAUAAAGGAGUUAGUCUUGUUCCCACUGCAAUAGGUACUCUUAGCUUCGUGUUGUUGGUCAUUCCAAACUUUUCAAACAAGUUCUUUGUGUAUUUUUCUUGAUUGAUUAAAAUUCCAUCCCUGUUCCGUCUUAUAUUCAAACCAAGAAAAUUAUUGAUUUUUCCCAUCAUAAUCAUUUCAAAUUAACUUUUCAUUAGAUUUUCAAAUUCAAUUGACAAUGCUGGGUCAGUUGAGCCAAAAAUAAUAUCAUCAGCAUAAAUUUGAACAAUCAUAAGAUGAUCCCCAACUUUCUUGCGAAUCAAAGUGGGGUCAACUGAUCCUUGUUUAAAUUUAGAUUGCUUAAAGAAAUUUGUAAGUGUUGCGUACCAGGCUCUUGGUGCUUGUUUUAACCCAUACACUGCUUUGUCUAGAAUGUAGACAUGAUCAGGAUGUUCACCAUUUAUAAAUCCUGGUGUUUGUUCAACAUAGACUGUUUCUUCAAGUUCUCCAUUUAAGAAUGCACACUUAACAUCCAUUUGAAAAACAUUAAAGUCUUUGUGAGAUGCAAGCUAAAAAUAUGUGAACUGCUUCGAGUCUUGCAACAGGAGCAAAUGUUUCUUCAUAGUCUAUUUCUUCUUGUUGCGAAUAACCUUUAACAACUAGUCUAGCUUUAUUGCGAAUAAUAUUGCCAUCUUUGUUGGUUUUAUUUUUAAAAAUCCAUUUUAAUCCGACAAUUGAAACAUCAGAAGGUUUAGGAAUUAAUCUCCAAACCUUGUUUUGUUCAAAUUCAGCCAGUUCAGAUUGCAUGACAACAACCCAAUCUGAGUGUUCCAUAGCAUCCUUUACUGUAUUUGGCUCUAUUUUUGAAAUAAAGACAUUAAACAUACACAGUUCUUGAUUCGCAUUCAGUACCUCAUUUUUCGCAUGAAUUUGAGCUCUUGUCAACACACCAUCUUGUGGAUUCCCGAUUAACUGUUCUUUGGGAUGAUUCUUUGUUUAUUUCUCAAGUGGUGGAAAAUCAGGAUUAAAUUCCAAUGGUGCAUCUUCGUACACAUCUUCAUUCUCAGAUCCUGCAACAGAAAAAUUAUCAUUUAAUUCAUGAAAUUCAUCAUUCUCAUCAAGAUUAAUUGUCUCUAUUGUAUCAUGCUGCUCCUCAACAUAAUGUUCAUCUUGAUGCUCCUCCUGAAAAUGAUGAUUUUGUUGAGAUUGCAAAUGCUCCCCCUCAACUUGAUGAUUCAUAUUUUCAUUCUCCCCCUCAAAAUUUUGCUGUCUGUGUUCAUUGUUAAUUGUAUGCUCCCCCUCCAUAUGAACUUCAGGCACACUUUCAAAAUAUUGAACUUGUAGUGAUUGUUGAACCAUCAGUAUGUUUUGAGGAUUCUGAUGUUUGAUUAUCAUGAGCAUUAGUUUUCAAAUCAAUUGCCCUGUCAGGAGUUCUAAAAAUUAAGUCAUAAUCAAAAUCAUUUAUUUUUGAAUUAUCAAUCUUAGUAUCUGAAUUAACAAGAAUUGAGUUAUGUUCAAAUUUACUAUCCAUUUGUUUAAGAUAGUAAUCAUCAAAAGUUAAGUUGAAAGUUUCUUCAACUUUUCUUGUUCGCUUGUUUAACACCCUGUAUGCAACUGAAUUUUGCAAAUAUCCUAAAAAUAUGCAUUCAUCAGCUUUAGCUUGGAACUUGGUCAAAUUCUCUUUUAGAUUCAUUAUAAAACACCUGCAACCAAAAACAUGGAAAAAUUUGACAUUGGGUUUUCAAUUUUUGAGUAUUUCAUAUGGAGUGACAUUGAAUCUGCGAUGAAUGAAUGACCGAUUCUGAGUAAAACAAGCAGUUGAUACUGCUUCAGCCCAAAGAUAUUGAGGUAAGUUCGCAUAUGUCAACAUGGUUCUGGCUACUUCGCAUAAAGAUCGAUUUCUUCUUUCAAUAACACCAUUUUGUUAUGGAGUAUAUGGUGAAGAGAAAUUAUGCGAAAUGCCUUUGUGUAUGAGAAAAGAGUCUAGUAUUUGAUUUUUAAACUCAGAACCAUUAUCACUUUUAACUCUGCGAACACUCUUUUUAAGGCUAAUCUCAAUCUUUUUGAUAAAAUCAAUCAUCGUCUGAGCAACUUCAGAUUUUAACCUGAGAAAAAGUACCCAUGUGAAUCGAGAAUGUACCGCUUUUUAUUGAUUGUAGCAACAGUCGACGGUCCACAUAAGUCAAUGUGAAGAAGUUCCAAUGGUUCUACGAUUUUUGAAUCUAUCACAAUCGGAUGACCUUUUCUAUGUUGUUUUCCUUGUUCGCAAGCUGCACACAGAGAAUCAUUGUCAAAUUUUAGUAUAGGUAAACAUUGAACUAAAUCUUCAGUGACAAGUUUGUUAAUAUUGCGAAAAUUCAAAUGUGACAAUCUUCUAUGCCAAAGCCAGCUAACAUCAUUAGAUGCCUUUGAUAGUAAACACACAGCAGGUUUGCCCACGAUUAGUUUGAUGUCCAGUGUAAACAUAUCACCAUAUCUUUUGGAUUUGAGAAGUACUUCAUUUGUCUUCGCAUUUGAAAUGAUACUUUCUUCUUCAUUAAACACAGCCUGGUUUCCAGUACCCACAACAAGUUGUGAAACACUAAUCAAGUUAUGUUGAAGACCUUCAACAUAAGCAACCCUGUUAACUGUGAAUUGUCCAUUUGUGACUUUUCCAUAUCCUUUCACUUGACAUUUGUGAUUAUUUCCAAAUUUGACUACUCCAGCAUUCUCCAAGCUUCUAUAAUCUCGCAAGUUUUCCUUUCUUCCAGUCAUAUGACGAGAGCAACCACUAUUAAUAUACCAUUUCGUAUCAUAUUGUUCGUCACACAUCACCUGCAUUUAAUGGAAAAAUUUAGGAACCCAAGACUUAUUGGGUCCAUCAUUAGUAUUUUUGAACAAAUUCUUUGAAUUUAAAAACCAUGUUUUCACUUUGUGUGUGACACUAUCAAUUAUAUCAACAUCAUCAGAUCGAGAUAUUGAAAUAUAGUCUUUCAAAAAUUUUGGAUUUUCAUUGAGUUUCAUCUCAUCUUUCACAACAUUCGCAACUUUGAUAACUGGUACCAAUUGAAGAGAUUUUUUAACUAGUUUCCAUUUUUGUAUCGGAACUUGCAAAUUAUAAGAUGAUGAACUACCAGUGGAAGAGUUAUUUGCGAACUUGUCAAAUGCAUUUUUUAUUUGUUGCUCUGAAAACUUUCCAUUUUGAUAUUGUCUUCCUUUUCCUUCAAGCCAACGAUUGAUCAUACAUACAUCAGAUUUUCCUUUUGUAUACGAAACUUUGGUCGGUUUUGAGACUGAAGGAUUUGGAAAAUUUGGUUGUUUAGGUGAAAAGGUCAUUUUUUUUUGAGUUGUGACAUUCAAAGAUGAUGAAUUAUUCGUGAAUUUGCCAACAUUAUGAAACUUUUGAUUUUUCACAAAUUUUUGCGAAGUCUCAAAUUUUCGAUUGUUGUCAUAUUUGCGAACAAGUUUAUCAUUAUUUUUCAUUGGAAUUUUGUCAACAGAAUUUAUUGGUUUAUGAAAACUUGUAUCCUUUUGUUUAUUUAUGCUUUGAAAUUUUGAUGAUUUUGACUUUGAAAUUUGUUCUUUUUCAACUUUUGAUUUAUCAUUGGACACAACUUGCCAAAAGAUUGCUUUUCUUGCUUUUCUUUUUGAAACAUUAUUUUCUGUUGAAUAAUUUCCAACCAUCAAUUUGAAUUCAUGAGAAUUUAAUUUCACUUCAACCUUUGGUUUUUCAACUUUUUCAAAAACUUUGUUUGCUUUUUCACCUUUAACCACCCAUUUUUGUGAUGAUUUUUGUCGUUGAAAAACAUAAGAUUUUUGAGUUAAAUUGUUUUCUACUGUGUUUUGAUUUGCGAAGAAACCUUCAGUAGUUGACCUUUGAUUAUCUUUUUCAACCAUUUUGUUGAAUUCAGGGUUAAUUUUCUCAGCAUUCCCAGUAGUGACAAAAAUUUGAUUUGGAAAAAUGGUGUUAUCAGUGCAUAUAAAAUUUGGAUAAACCACAGUGUUAGUUUCCAAAUAAUGUGCACCUUUGUCACUUAGAAUUUUGUCGAAUUCUUUUGUAUCUCCAAACACUUGAUCAACCACAACUCGUGGAGGUAUUUCAUGUGAAUCCUUCACAUCUUCUUUGUUUUCAUCAGUGUCAUCAGACUUCCAGCUUUCAACUUCCACAUUAUCAAAAUUACAAUGUUGCGAAGUAGAGGGUUUUUCAAUUUCAUCUUUGACUAUCGAAUCAACUAUAAUUUCUUUACCUUUGAUCUUAGAUGUGAUAUUAAUGAUUGACAAUUGACAACAAUCAACCUCUUCUUCCUCUUCAAUCUCACUGGUUUUACUCACAUUAUCUGAAUUAUUAUCGACAUCAGCAUAAUUGAGUUGAGAAUCAAGAGUUGAGGUUUCAGUUUUCUUUAAGAUUUUCACUUGUUCAUUCUUUGUCAAACUUUCAUUGACAAUACUAACCAACUCAUCAGCAUUCAAAAAUUCAUCAAUUUUGACAAUACCAUAUGCGAAUCUAUCAUCAGGUAUUUUGUCAAAUUGAGCAAUUGUGUUUUCGCAAUCAUAAGACACAACAUCAACUUUUUCACGAUCAUAUUCAAGAAAAGGUAAAAGUUUCCUAUGUUGUUCUUUGCUAAUGUCAGAUGAAUGAUGUAAAACAGUUAAUUUUGCAUACAAACGCUUAACAGAGUUACAGUAUAUAUUUCUUUGUGCUAGCAACAACCUAACUUAAUUUCCAAGAUUGUCCCUAUCACAAUUUACAUUUUUGAUUUGUAGUUCAAGUUUGUCUACUCUGCUUCGUUUUAUUUCUAACUCUCUUCGUGUUUCAACUAGUUGCAUAUUUAAAUUUUGAGCUUCAGUACUAGCAGACACAAUAACAGAAUCAAAAUAAGCAACAAUAUCAUCAAAAGAAGUAAUUUCAGCAUCAUAAGCAAAUAAAGGAAUAUUAAAAGAUUCAAGAAUAGCACGUACCUUGGUGGUAAUUGGUGAUUUGUCUGUUGAUUUGGAUACGAAGCACCGACCUGAAAUAUCUUAUUUGCAAUUUUCUUCAAAGCUUGCGAACAUAGCUCCAUGAGUUAGAUGCCUCAUUUCUUCGUCAUCAGAUCCUGAAGACCAGAUCUGAUAUGUUCCACUCUCUUCCUCAUCAGACUUACCCUUCGCAACUAGUGACAUUCCUUUUGUCUUUGCAUGCAACUCUUCAAUCUUUUCCGAAUAGUAAGCUUCAUCUUUCACUUUGUUCUUUUUCUCCUCUUUCUUUCACAACAUGCAAUCAGCUGCGAAGUGAUUCGCACCAUUGCAGUAGUGACAAUAGAUUCCAGAAUCACCUUUCAGUUUCUUCACAUCUUUAGCAUCUUUUUGCUUUUCAUCAACUUUUUCCAUUUUCUUCUUCUCCUCUCCUCCAGCUUUUGCGGCUCAACUCUUCGCAUCAUUUACCUUUCCUUUUGGAUUAAAAGGUUUUUUGAAAAAUUUCUUAACUCUGUUGUUUGAGUAGAAUGCCACAGCUUCGUCAUCAGAGUUCAUUAAGAAGCAUUUAUUGUCUGAACCAUCUGUUUCAUUAAUUUCGACUUCUGAUACCUUUGAAACAAGAGCCAAAGGUCCUCCUAUACUUUGUUUUGAUUCUUCAUACAUUUAUGAGAACUUCACUUUCAUGUGUUUUCAGCUGAUUGUAGAGAUCAUUCAAGCUGGUUGUAUCAAAACUCUGUUGAUUCUUAAUCAUCAUACUCACACUUCGCCAUUCCUUGAGAAGGCCCAUGAUGAAUGUUAAAUUGAACUCCAUGAGAGACCUAGUGAUUCCAUACCUAUUGCAGCGAUACACAAGCUCAUUCGUACGAUCAUAGUAACUUACAAGAGUUUAGCAUCCUUUUGUCUGAAUUCCUUCAGUUCAACAAGACAUUGCUUCACAGAGUUGAUCUUCGUCUUUUCGCUACCUUGAUACUUCUCUUUCAGAGUGAUCCAGAUCUCCUUGGCUGUUUUACAACUACGGAUGUAAUUGUAAACCACGGGAGGUAGAGCACCUCUUAGUUCCCUCAUGCAUCUCUUUUCAUUCCUCUUCAGAUGGUUUUGUUGUUCAGCAACUUCAGCAGAAGUAGUAGAUGAUCCAAUUGAUUGAACAUUAGCAGGAACUUGAACUGUUCCAUUGAUACCAUUCCAAAGUUCUUCAUCUAUUCCAUUUAAGUCAUCCUCCAUUCUAUCGGCCCAUUGAUCAUAGUAUUCAGGGAUUAACAUCAGAAUUUUGGUUGAAGAACCAAGCAAAUGAGAGAAAGAAGUCAUUGUAUUCAUGUUGAAGUUCGCCAUUGAUGAACACGAAAAUUUCAGAAAGCUUGAAAAACUUGAUGAAUUUGAGAAUUGAUCAACUGAAAUGAUCACAAAUUGCUAAUCGAUCACUCGACUAAACAAUUCAAAGGCAGAAUCGAUUCAAAUCUGAAGAUCAAAUGUGAUUUUCAAAACCAAAAUGCGCGGAAAAUUUUGAGUAAAGUUACUACUCAAAAAGCAAAUGAUUCUAACACGAAAAUCAGAUCGAUGCAGUUUGAAUCCUGCUCUGAUACCAAUUGAAGAGAAUUGUUAACGAGAUUAUGAAAGCAAUUAUGAUUGAUUGAUUGAAAAGUAAGAACACAAUGAGUAAAUAUUAAUCAGAUCUUAUAUUAAUGAAGACUGAUUACAAUGCUUUAAGCAGAAAAAAUACUCAAGUUCAAAAAUAUAUCUUUUCUACUUCUAUCCUCAGCCCCUAUUUAUAGGAAAACUGAGUGUACAAAAAAUAUACUAAGUCUAUUACAAUACACUUCGCAUAAAACUGUGACUUAGUAAAAUAACUAAUAUGCGAAACUAAAAGAAACAACCACUUCGACUUUUUACAAUACAUAGACUCUACAAGUAAUACCAAGUUUCUUCUUCCUUAUGGCACCAGAUACAUCAAUAAUGAAUUACCAGCUGGUGUUGAACCUGUUUAGUAAAUGUUUAUUACAGAGCCAGAGCAAUGGAUCUUUUAUCUCGACAGUCAAAAUCAGAUGUGCUUUCAACGCACUGAUGACCUUCCUUCCCCUCCUACUGAACAAUUGUUUCAUCUAUGUUUGGAAGGACUAGGUCACUAUGAACUGGAAAGAGGAUAUCAAAUAUUGUAAUCACUUGACUUGAAUAGAAGACUGGAUGAACUCAAGCUUGAUCAGUGUAGAUGGUUCAAGCCUGAAGUCUUGAAAUAACCUGAAAAGUUUUACAAUGGCUCUUCAGAUGACUUAAAAGAUGACUUUUAGUUUAACAUCAUCAGAUAUGGGGAGAUUUUAAGGUCACACCCUUAUGAUCUGAUGAUUCAAUGAUAUGACACGCUAAUUUAUUAGCGUCAACUUAUACAAUUCAACAGUGCCAUCCUAGCAAGUUCAACAAUGUCAGCUUAUAGUAUAGUUAUCCGAUUGUAAUCUGUUGUAUAUUAGGCAGUUAUUAUAGAUAAAUAUAAAAUAGAUAUCAUAUUUUUAAUCUUCUUGAUAAGGAUCAGAUCAUUAGUAUAUAUUAGACACAAUCCAUUCAAUCAAGUGAUAUAUAUGUAUAGGUUAGUAUAUAUACAACAUUGGGACAAACCCUAAUGUUAUGGGUUAGUGAUCGUAGCUUUUUGUGAAUCGUCUUUAUGACAAACCUAUCUUCUUGGUGAAGACAAAACCUCUUUUCUUGGUGAAAGGAACAAUUUGGAGAGAUUCUAUGGUAUUUACUUUCUGUUUAUUAUUUUGCGUAGAUUAUUUUUACAUUUCUUAUUUAUACUUGAAGUGUAUUUGAUCAAAUACAAACGUUCAUAAGGAAUGACCAGGUAAGAUCAUAUUAGAUGUAGAAUCCGUUUGGUAUAUAGAGUAUACUAUUUAGAAAACGAAAUUUAAACACCUCACUAUUUCUAGCCUUGACAUCAUUCUCGGAAGUAUAUUAAUCAAUAUGAUAACUCGAAUUACGGAUAAAUUGUAUAUAUAAGUUCAUAAUAAAGACUAUGAACAUAAAUAUAAAUUACACUUAAAGCAUAGAAAGUAUAACUUAACUUUCAGGUUUUCUAGCAAAAAUCAAAUAGUUAUGAGUAGAACUUUGACGUUAAAUACUUCUUUUCCUCGGACUUUCUAAUCAUGAAAAGCUUCGAUAAGACGCUCGAGAAUAUGAGAGGCGGAAACCGAAGAUUCGGGAGAGAUUUUAGAGAGAGAGAGAGUGUGUGUGUGUGUGUGUGCUUGAAAAUUUUCUAACAUAUUUUAAGAAUUUACCUAGCAAAUUCCUAAUUAUAAUUGAAUGAAGAGUCUAUGGACGUGUUUGGAACGGAGCUUUUGGAAGCGUUUGGGAGCUUCUAGCUUGUAGCUUUUGACAAAACGUUCUAGUUUAAACAAAAAACUUCGUUUGGUAGUACGAGCGUUUAGCUUUUAGUUUAAACAAAAAGCUUCAAAUCUAAAAGCUACUUCAUGUAGCGUUUAACAAAACGCUACUGAGCUUUUGAAAUCAAUAUCCAUAAUUACCUUAAAAAAUAUAUUUAUAUAUUUAUUUAUUUUUAAUCAAUUGCUUUUUAUGUAAUUUUAUUGUUGGGACUUAUCGUGUUGCGUCUUAAGGCUUUUUGUAUAUAUCCGGAUUGGGCCUAUCCAUCCGUGAUUCUCUCUUAGGGUUAGACUAUAUAUAUGCAUGCAUGUAUGCAUUAUGUUGGUCACGUCUUAUUAAUUACGCUUGAGUUUUGUAACCCUAAACACCUCUACAGUCGAAGUUUUUAAUCGAGUUCUUCUGAGGUGUUGAAGCAUUAAUCAUACAACAUAUUCAAACCAUAUUCUUAUUCACUUUACGUUCUUUCUUGUUUGCGUACUUAGAAUUAAUCGAUCCUGAUAGAACUUUGUUCUAACAAUUGGUAUCAGAGCAGGAGUUUGUGUGAUCAAUACACAUUCCUUCUGUAUUCAGAAUUCCUUAGGGUUUCCGCUUUUAUCGUAUAAAUAACAAGUCGUCUUCUUCGUUUCGAAGGCAACAUUGUUUUAGAUAAAACCCUAAUCUCGAGUUUAAAAGUCUGAUUCUAAAAACUCAACAUGUCUCACGAUGAUUCACAAACAAAUCCCAUUAACAUCUCAAACAGCAUUGGAUCUAUAACUAGGAUACCCAUACUCUAUACUCAAGACUAUGAAGUAUGGGCACUUCAGUUUUGUGACAUCCCCAUUUUCAUGGCCAGAAAAGACCGAUUUUGUUUAUGCUUUAUAAAAAUCAGAGUACUUCUUUUAAUAAAAAUGUUGCGGAAUUUGUUCCCAGAAAAACAUGAUAAAUACGUUAUUAAAACAUUUUCGACGCAACGUAUUUUAUUCAUUUUAAAACAUUUGGGAUGUCAUCGUUAAUACAAAAACAUAAGCAUAAACAGAAUUUACAUUUAUUUACACUAGUGAUCUAUAUCUCUUUAAAUCUCUNUUUAAUCUCUCAGUGUAAUGUCACUUCAUAACAACACCUGUGAUAUAAAUAAACUGAGUGGGUCAGGUUGGGAAACCUGGUGAGUACAUAGGGUUUUCAACCCACAAUAAUAUAAUUAUUAUGUUUAAACAAUCAAACAAUCAACCUAAUUACCCAUCCCCAUUAUCUUCUUUAGUCUUAAGGAUCUACCCUAAGAAUCAGCUAUUCCUCGCUUAUUUAUUCCUAAGGAUCAUCCUAAGGAAUCAGCAUGAAGUCCAUCGUUUACCAAGGCCUAUAGAUUAUAACUGGUUAACACGUAGUCCAAAGCAUCUGGUAAACACUGAGUUCAAAAGUAACUAGUAAACACACUUAGUUCAAAAUAAUUAGUGAACACACUCAGUUCAAAAAUACCUAGUGAACACACUCAGUUCAAAAUACCUAGUGAUCACACUUAGUUCAAAAAUACCUAAUGAGCACCUAGUUCAAAAACACCUACAAGUUACGAGUCGCUAGCGUUCCACUGGACUGUCUAGUAUCGUCCAUGGUCGUCAUCUACACUCCACUAGAUGACUGGAUCACUAUCAACAUUGAGGUCUUUCAUCAUGUUGUCACACAACAACUAUUUCAUCUACCCAUAUUUUACCUAACACAUUUUGUAGAUAUAAAAUACAUAUACAGUUUAAAUCAUUUAAAACAUGUAUAAAAAUCUUCCAUCUAGCAUAGACUGCGAGUAUUCAGACAAUAUGCACACAUAGCACGUAAUUUAUAUUAAAAUACUUCAUAUCUAUGUGUAAGAUGAAAGGGACUAUGCACUCACUUGAAAGGUGGUGACUCAGUACUCGGACAACACUUUGAUACUCUCAAAACAAUUUUCCUUCGAUAAAACAGCGGAUUCUAAAGAAAUUCGGGCUUUGCUCGGAGCCGCGUUUCGAAACCGAAAGACCCUUUUUAUUGGGACUCCGGUAGCCUCGGGGCUUCCCUCGGGAGCUAAGGGAUUUUUCCUAGGGUUUAGGGGGUUAAAAUAGGCUAGAGAGAGAAUUGGUGUGAGAAUUCGGAAGAGUUCGGACCCCUUUUAUAGGCUCCAGCAGCCUCGGUUACGCUGGGCGUACCGAGGUUACGCUGGGCGUACUCCUUGGAUAAGGUUGCUAGCCGAAGCCAACUGUCUCGCACCAUUGGAUGGAUCAGAUCGGAGCUACGUGGGGCGUAACUUCUUCGGAUGCGGGGCGUACUGCGAGGGCGAUGUGUCACGAUCCGAAGCGAGGCGUCAUUAGCAAGCGACGUCCAGAUGCCGCCACGUCAUCAACUUCACACCAGAUUCGUGAUUUUCUACUCCGACUUCUAAAAAUCAUAACUCUUGCAUAUGAGCUCCGUUUUUGACGUUCUUUAUAUGUACGGAAACCUUGUGACAUAUACUACAAUUUGGUUCAAAUUAUUUAUUCUAAAUAAUCUUUUUUCGAAAAGUCGUUUUCGACACUUAUUGCCUCUAACUUGACUAGCCCGGAUCUGCGGGCGUUACAACUUUGAAGACUACGUCAUAGGUUCUGAAGAUCGAGGCUAUCUCAUCUGGGAAGCCAUCACUCUUGAACUGUUUGUUCAUUCGGGAACGAACACUACUGUCAAGACUCAGCAGGAGUAUAACACGCUGGUGGCAGAUGAACAGAAGAUGCCACAGGAUGAGAAAGACAAAUUGCUAUGUAAUGUGAAAGCCAUGCGAAUGAUAACAUUCGCCUUGCAAUUCGAUACCUUUCGGUUAGUUGGUUCAUUCACGACUGCUAAACAAAUCUGGGACAGACUGAAAGAACUCUAUUCAACUGAUGAAGAUCUGGAACACUCAACUCAAACCUUGUUGCUAUCAGAAUUUGGAGCUUUCAAACAGAAACCAGAGGAGAAACUCAUACAGACGUUCGAUCGUUUCAAUCAUCUUCUCAGCAGAAUGGUCAAGCAUGGAAUAGAAGUAAAGUUAAUUGAGCAAAAGGUGACUUUCAUGAACGGACUAAGAACCGAAUGGAUGGCUGUGGUCUCUACUGUAAAAGCGCAUGAGCAGUUCAAAUCUUACUCGCUUGCUCUUAUAUCAAAAAGAAAAGGUGUUGCAGAAGAAGAAGAAGAGUCGUAUAUAUCUGAAUAUGACCUUACAAGCGAAGAGUAUGCUAUGAUGGUCACCAAUCCAAAGAAGUUUGCUAGAAGAAAAUUUCAUGUCAACAAGAACCGAAACUGGAAAGGAAGUUAUAGUUCCGAGAAAGCGAAGGAUGAAGCAAUGAUCACCUCUCAAAAGACUGAAGACAAGAAUGAGAGCAAACUUGCAGGAGACUCUGGAUACGACUACAACUACUGCCAUGGCAAGAACCACUUUGUAAAGGAUUGUAUGUUAAGGAAAUUCGCUGAGAAGAGAGACGGGGAAGAUGAUGAGGCAUACUACAUGCGAAAGAUGGAAGAGAUCAAGAACAAGAAGACAACUAACGGCGCAAAAGGAACGACGAAUGCUUUAAUUGUGCAGGAAAAGGCUAAUGAAGAUGAGUUCGAUGGCGUAGAAGUUGAUGGGUUUUGAGCAUUCUAACACUUCCUAAGUGUGCAUGCAACCCUAAUAAACCUUGGAUCUAUGUUUGUCUAAGAUACAUGCAAAUAAUUAUUUUUCCAAGGUUCAUAUCCUAACUAGCAUGGCAUGGGGAACUUGAAUCAAAUAAAGCUAGUAGAAAUACUUACCUUGUAGUUGUAGUUGAUUCCUUGGAGUUUUAGAGCCUAGCACCAAUAGUGUGGAUGCCUCAAAUGGAAAUCACAAAUCACCACAAACUUGGAACUUUGAGAGAAUAGUCACUACUAUCUUGAAAUCGUCCCUCUUGCUUUACUCACCUCAACUAGUGUGAUUUCAAGAACCAAAGCCUCCUUUAUAUAGUGUGGUGGAUUAAGGUUACAUCCAUGUAAACCCUAAUACCUAUGUCUCUUCAUUUCCAUGAGAUCCAUGGGUUAAAGCUCCAUGGAGUAUCCAUGGACUUUCCAUGCAAGCCUAGCCCAUUCCAAAUAAGCAUUAGCCCACACUAUAUAAAUAUAGAAGCCCAUAUUUAAUUAGUAAUACUUUUGAUCUCUAAAUUAAUCCUAGAUUAAUUAUAGAUCAAUACUAAUUAAAUAAUAUGAUCUUAUAUUAAUAUAUUAGAACUUAUAAUAUAUUAAUAAAUCAUAACUUGUACUAUUCUCAAAAAAUUAUCCAUAAAUUGUUCGGGUGAGGUGCAACCCAAAUGGACCAUGUCGGGUCGGGUCAAGUACAUACCAAAUAUAGUUAUGGACUUAGACACUAUAUCCAACAGUCUCCCACUUGGAUAAGUCUAAUAACUAUAGUUGCAAGUAUGACUUCAGGAACCGAUCAACAAUCGUAGCUCUUUAAACUCUGUUGAACUAGAACGCGCCAUUUNUUUUGGAGUUGGCCUAUGCGUUUCUUGCUUAUAUGUCCAAGACGACAAUGCCAUAAUGAUGCUUUAUCCAAGUUAUUAUUAUUUAUAGAAUCAAUACACAUCACAUUAUUUCCUAAGUUGUCUACAACAGACACAGCUUCAUACACACCAUCACAAGGUAAUGCUUUAAAAUAAAGAACAUUAUUAAAGAAAGCAUCAAUAGAACCAACUUCAUUAUUAAAUGAAAAGGUAAACCCUUGUUUAUACAAUGCAUGAAAGGAAAUAAUAUUUCUUGCCAUUUCUGGCGAGUAACAACAUUUAUUCAAAUCUAAAUUAAACCCACUACUUAGCGAUAAAGUAUAAACUCCAAUCUUGGUGACAGGUGUAACUUUCAUAUUCCCCAUGAUUAAGUUUAUCCUUCCUUGCUCCACAUUCUCACUUCUUCUUAGUCCCUGCAAGUCACAACAAAUAUGAAUACCACAACCGGUAUCAAGGACCCAAGAGUUAGAAUUGGGUGAGUUAUUAGAAAUGAUAGUGUAAAUACCUGCAUGGUUGGGUUUAACUUUCCUAUCCUUCACAUCUUGCUGGUACUUUCGGCAGUUCUACUUCCAAUGUGCCUUUUCAUGACAAUAGAAGCAUUCAGCCUCUUUAGGGUCAGAUGAAGGAGUGAUGAAACCUUUCUUGGUUCCACUUGAAGAAGAGCCAUCAAGGGUCCUAACCGUGGUACCCUUUGAAGAACACUUUCUCUUCUUCCCUCGUCCUUUCCCGAUUGCCAAGACAGGGACGGAGUUGGUAAGAAUAGGAGUAGUAACAACCGCCUUACCCUUAAGACCACUUUCCGUGUUCUUUAAGAGUCCUUGAAGUUUGCUGAGUAUGACCUCUUCCUUGUUCAUGUGGUAUGUCAUGCGGAAUUGAUCAUAACAUGAAGGUAAGGAGUGCAAAAUUAUAUCUAUUGCAAGCUCCUCGGGGAAGUUCACAUUAAGCUUAAACAAACAGUCCACAAAUCUUUGCAUUUUCUGCAUGUGGCCCAUGAUGGGUUCACCAUCCUUCAUGCGAGUUGUUAUCAUAGAGGAGAUGAUUUCAUACCUCUCUUGACAAGCACUUUGAUGGUAUCUUUCCAUCAAGUCUUGGUGCAUCUCAUAGGGGUAGAAAUCUUCAUAGGAUUUUUGGAGAUCAGCGGUCAUAGUGGCCAUCAUGAUGCAUGCCACUUUGGUGGCAUCCCUUUCAUGUGCCCUAAACUCAGCGAUCUCUUGAGGAGUAGCAACUGUCUCAUCAAUCUCCUUAAGCUCCUUAUCGAGGACAUAUUCCUUGUCCUCGUAGCGAGUAAUCAUUCUGAUGUUUCUGAUCCAUUCAUUAAAGUUGGAUCCAUCAAAAGUGAGUUUCCCACACAAGUUCAUAAGAGAAAAGGAGCCACUAGGAUUAGAGCCAGAAGCAGCGUUGUUUGCAGACAUCUGAUAAGAGAAGAAAGAAAGGAUUAGUUUAGAUAUAGAGAUAGUCCUUAAUAAAAAACCCAAAUGUAGUAUUAAGGCUAGGACCCAAUCACAUUAUAUUAUACUUAGAAGAGGUAUGCCGUAAUCUAAGUAAUAACAUAUUUGAAAGGUAGGUGAAUGACGAUUCACCAAUUUCCACCAAAGACGAAAUAUUAAAAAUAUUUAAUUUGGCUUUUUAGAAACUCCUAUAUUCUUUUAUGAUUCAAUGAACUUUUCAAAGGCAUGUUUCAAUCUCGAGUGUGCCCUCCAAGUUUUGUGACUGGGAUGCCGAGGAUCACAAAACGAGGUGUGAAGUAACCAUGCAAAUUACUUGGUACCCUUAAUGUAUUACCCCUCAAUCGAUGUGCCGGUUAACCACACACGCUCCAUCGAUGCUAUGAUAAAUAUUAAGUCACCCUUUACCUACCUUGUUAAGUCCAAGUUAGUGUGCCGGUUAACCACACAUGCUCCACUAACGACUUAGACAAAGUGUAAAGUGUAAUUUCAAGGAUUAGCACCUUAUUCACAUUUUUCAUAAAGUAACUAAGAUUGGGAAUUUAAUAAAACAUUUAGUUACUUUAUAACAUUCAUCAUACUUUUAAUGAGAAUUUAUAAGUCCUUGUCCUACCCAUUCGGCUAACGAACCUCCACCAGUCAAAUGAGUAGUAUCAUCAGAAGAGACGUCCAUGUCAUAC